ACAGAUACAAAAUAUCUCCAUAUACCGAGAGGGAGAGCAGGGGAGGGAGAGGGCGGGCACAACAUGCUGCUGGAAAUACAUGCAAAAGAGGGAGAAUAAACAGAAAAAGAAGGAAAAGCCUGAAGGGAAACCUCCUAAAGUCAGCCCAAAGCGAAUGGAUUGAGAGUCAGGAAGCCCUGGGUGGCCAGUGAGAGAGACACCAGGAGCCAAGAUGAAGGAGAAGGCAAUGAUCAAAACGGCGAAAAUGCAGGGGAACGUCCUGGUGAGUGACUACUGGGGGUAAACUGCAGGCUGUGAGAGACUACUGGGGGUAAACUGCAGGGGGAGAGAGACUACUGGGGGUAAACGUAAACUGCAGGGGGAGAGAGACUACUGGGGGUAAACUGCAGGGGGUGAGAGACUACUGGGGGUAAACUGCGGGGGGUGAGAGACUACUGGGGUAAACUGCAGAGGGUGAGUGACUACUGGGGUAAACUGCAGGAGGUGAGAGACGACUGGGGUAAACUGCAGGGGGUGAGUGACUAUUGGGGUAAACUGCAGGAGAUGAGUGACUACUGGGGGCAAACUGCAGGGGGUGAGAGACUACUGGGGUAAACUGCAGGGGAUGAGUGACUACUGGGGGUAAACUGCAGGGGAAGGUCCUACUGUCUGACUACUAGGGGUAAAUUGCAGGGGGUGACUACUGGGGGUAAAUUGCAGGGGAGACUACUAGGGGUAAAUUGCAGAUGAAGGUCCCAGUGAGUAACUGCUAGGGGUAAAAUGCAGAGGAAGGUCCUGCUGUCUGACUACUAGGGGUAAAAUGUAGGGGAAGGUCCUGGUGAGUAACUGCUAGGGGUAAAAUGCUGAUGAAUGCCCUGCCAUAUGACUGCUGUGGGGUAAGUGCAGAGAGGGGUACUGCUGUCUGACUUCUAGGGUUCAAAUUUAUGGAAACGUCCUGCUGUAUGACUGCUGGGGGUAGAAAAUGCAGGGAAGGUUCUACUGUUUGCCAAAUGGAAUACAAUGCAGGGGAAGGUCCUGGUCUGUGACUACUGGGGGUAAACACAGGGGAUGGUCCAGGUCUGUGACUACUGGGGGUAAACAUAGGGGAUGGUCCUGGUGAGUGACUGCUAGGGUAAAAUACUGGAGAACUUCCUGGUGAGUGACUUCUGGGGUAAAAUGCUAUGGGACAUCCUAGUGAGUGAGUGUUGGGGGUAAAAUGCUGGGAACAUCCAGAUUAGUGAUUGCUAGGGGUAAAACACUGGGCAAUGAUCUGGUGAGUGACUGCUGGUGAUGAAAGACUGGUGAACAUCCUGGUAAGUGAUUGCUUGGGGUAAAAGACUGGGGAACAUCCUGGUAAGUGAUUGCUUGGGGUAAAAGAAUGGGGAACAUCCUGGUAAGUGAUUGCUUGGGGUAAAAGACUGGGGAACAUCCUGGUAAGUGAUUGCUUGGGGUAAAAGACUGGGGAACAUCCUGGUAAGUGAUUGCUUGGGGUAAAAUACCAGGGAACAUUCUGGUGAGUGGCUGCUGAGGAUAACUUUCUGAGAAACAUGACAUUCUGUUGAGUGGAUGCUUGGGGUAAAGUAUUAGGGAACAUUGUGUUGAAUGACUGCUUGGGUUGAAAUGCUGGGGGACAUCCUGUUGAGUGGCUGCUGUGGAUACAUUACUGGGGAACAUACUACUAGUAAGUGACUCCUAGGGGCAAAAUAGUGGAACGUGCCUGUGAGUGGCUGAUAAAAUGUCAGAGAAUGUGGCUGUUGAGGGAACAUGUUGAAAAGGCUGCUGGGUUUAACUAGGCAACUAGCUGGGACAACCAGGACUUUACCCAGCUUACUGUGAACCUCCCUAUGCUGGCCAGUACUGGUAAUAACUAGAAAAAACUCACACAAUGUAUAGCAUUGAGUUAUUAAAAAAACAAACUUCCCAAAUAGUUUGUAGAACUACAACUUCUAAGAUGCUUUGCCGGCCUACAGGGAUCAAGUAACUUGUAAUUGUCCAAACAGCUGGGGAUCUACUUUUAUGGCCACCUUUAAUAUAUUAGAAUAAAUUUAAUUUUUUGUUGUUGUUUCAUAUGCAAAUGUUUUACAAUGUAUCCUUUUAUACAAUGUUUUAUAUAUGUUGUUGUUGUUUGCGUUGGGGAAUGUUGGAAUUGCGAAAAAUGUUUUUUUGAAAGCCGGGCACCUUUGUCACCCUAAGUGUUGAAUGACAAAUAUCAUCAUGUCCAGCCAGCCUGCCUUCUGUACCACCUGCAUUGCAAUACAGUCCCUAUCAUCCCGAGCAGCUCGAAUUACAACUUAAACUGGUAGAGGCUGAUUAAUUUGUAGGAUUGGGAGAUUCCAUUGUAGUUAGGAGACAUUUAAAAAGCAGAGGGACAGACAGAGAUUACUGUCUAACAUGUGGAGGUAUCUAAAUAUAGUAACUACAGGUGUUCGUAUUAAAGAGUUUGUCUUCUAAACUUGGGGUGUACUUGGUGUCAUUCUACAACCGCUGUGCUUGGUGUCAUUCCACAACUGCUUAAAGAUCAGAGGUUCACAAACUAAUUGAGAUGUCUCUAUCAAAAAUGAUGGACUAUCCACAGAGAUAUUUUAAUGAUACAGCUGUGUGGUGCGUCUUUGUUCCAGCUAGCGUUACAGAGGUUGCCAAUCUUGCGAGAGGCUUGUCUACAGAAUUCUGUAGUCAUAGUCAGCGUUAUAGAGGUUGUCAAUCUUGCAAGAGGCUUGUCUACAGAAUUCGGUAGUCAUAGUCAAUCUGCAGUUGCUGACAUUUUAAAAGUUCUCUAACAUUUGUUGUGUUCCUGGAAAUACUAACUUGUGGAGGUACCCCUAAAACGAGUUGUGUAUUUCUCAGCCUCUAGGAUCAGGGCAUUUGCCUUGUUCAUGAACUUUUGGAUGUACUUUGGCAGAGUUAGUUGCCAUUCAACAGCAGCUUAAUGUUUGUCUUACUAUUGUGGACUACUUUUAUAGAGUUUGAACCACAUCUCAUAGCUGACUCAACUAGAUGAUGUCUGAAGGACUACCUUCAUACCUGUAGGUUGAGGAUGUCUGAAUGACUACCUUUCAAUACCUGUUGGUUGCCAAAUUUGGAGUUGGGAAAAGACAUUCUUCUCGAGAGAUAUAUUGGACAGAUAAUAAGUUGAGGAUGAUGGUGUUAAGCAGCCGUAAACCAUUUAAUUAUAAAUAAUGCAGAAUCAAAUACGGAUUAUGUAUAUGGAUAAUUUUUAGGCUUGAUCCGUGUUUUGUUUUCACUGGUAACAUUUGCUGGAUUAAAUGACUGUAAUGCUGUUCUCAUUGAAUGCCUUGUAAGUAAGAAAACAUGAGUUAGCAAUCAUGCAGAUAAACGAUAAAUGUGAAGGGUGAUAAGAUGCUGAGGAUCUGCCAAUAGCUCAUAACUUCAAUGGACAAAACAAGAAAAACACUCCUAAAUUUAAAGCACUAGAGUACUUAUAAUUGUUCUUACAGCCUAGGCAGGUUUCUGACCAUAGUUUUUUUUAAUCAAGCCUGAAGUGAUCUCUCAGAAUGUAUAGCCACAGCCUAUGCAUUCUGAUCACUGAGAUCAUGUGACGAAUAGAGGUGGAACAAUCACCAUGGUUACAUUGGUACAUAAACAACGAUGACAUGUGAAAUUUGAUAUAUGAUAAUUUGUAUCUAAGAAUAUCUGUCUGGUCACGUGCCAUGAUUAUAAACUGUUGGGUAGAUGAUUAGGAUUGAUUAAUUAAUUGGGGUACCUGUAGUAUGCUACAUAACAUUGAAAAAUGCAAAAAAUAGCAAAAUUGCAAUAAUUGGUAUACACUUUACCCAGACAUGACUGAUACUUAAGCAAUAACGUUAUAGAUACAUCUGUCUUAGUAUAACAGUGUUUGUAAUUAUUUUUGUAUUAUUGGGAUUGAAUUGUGGGGAUCAUUCAAUAGAAAAUAUCAAAAUAGAAGUUUUAUAACAUUUAGGGGUGUUUUUCAGUAGAGCCUAAGUGGGCAUUCCACAACAGUUAAAAUAAUAAAUGUGGGGUCUUGACCACAGAACAUAGAGUUAUGUUCCAUUUUCAACAGCUCUGUCAUGGUUUUAUUUUCUUUAUGUCCACUGUAUCUUAAUGAUUUUACUCCCCCAUUGUCUCUUGGUUUUAUUUAUAUAUAUUAAAUUUUUUUUUCUUGUGCCAGAACUCAAUAUCUGGCCGCCGUAAUUUUAUUAUCCUCAGCCCAUGAUGUCUGCCGUUUGCCUUUCUGUGGGAUUGCUUAUACUGAAGGAUUGUGGAUAAAUGUGAUUGGCUGAAAUAAAGCCCCAUUUUGUCAACUUGGCUGCUAUACACAAUGUAGCCCCUACUUAUAUAUUUUAUGAAAACUAGACCACUCAGGAUUUUGAAAAUUGUAUUUAUUAGAUAAAGUUUACUUUUCGUGACAGAACUACAAUGUUUUUAAAUAAUUAAAUAAUAGCUCUUUUACAAUACAAAAAAAAAAGAAAUAGAGAUUUAAAUUUCCCAUGUGAAUAUGACCAGGCUAUACUCAGUGUAUUACAUUCACAGGUAACAUUUGUCAGAUUAUAGAGCAGUGAUGCUAUUCUCUGUGGUUUUAAACUAUGUAGCGAUUGUAGAAGUUUGUCGAUUGGAGGAAUUUGCAAAUAUGGCGAUAUUUGUUUCCUUGCAUUCUAAAUGGUUUACGUAUUUAACAAAGUGCCUGCUAUGCAUCGUAUCGUCUUUUACAGGUUGUGCAAGUUCACUUUUGCAAACAGUAUUAUGAUCUUCUGCUACAUAUGUGAAAAAAGAUUGUUUAUGCAUGAACUGUAAGGUGCAUGUUUGUUAUUUUCAGAUGAGCAGCAAAGACAACAUGUGGCGUAUUCUGUUGUGAUACCACUGGAUGACAUACUGAGUUCAACUUGCAUUAUCUGUAUAGUGUGAGAUCUGUUUACAUCUAUGAUACCACUGAACUAGACAAUCUAGGCUCAUAAAUUAUGCACCAUGCAAUUGAUUUAUGUUUAAACUGCAUAGUAUUUUCAAUUUAUUGCCUAUUUAUUCUGGUCACUUGAGAGGCCAAACCAGAAAUUGACGGUUUGCCAAUACAAACUGCAUUAAGCUGUGAGUUGUAGUACAAAGAGAUUUAAGUCUGAAAGCAAAAUAGACAGAACUCAUCCUAGAAUGAAUAGGGCCAGGAAGGAAUGUAUUGCUGUUUAGAUCCCGAUGGUUAGUCUUCGCAUCCUUAUAAUUCGAGUAAACUCUCUUACCAUUUCUCGCACACUGGCACAAGGUUGGAUCUAUGUUGAUUUUGUUUUAGCACUUGAGUUGCUAUUUGGUGGCUGUGCAUAAAUAAUUCCACUAAUGAACCGGUAUCGUGUUUAUGGGAAUGUCUGUGCAAGCUUUAUGCAUGUGAAAAAGGAUCAAAAUUACAACUAUUUAUUCUGAUAUUUCUAGCUUAUAUAAUAAGAUACAGAAUUGUAGUUUAAUAAAGUGGUUUUUUUGCAACAUCAUUUCUAAAAAGGAUCACUUUUGUAUUUUUGUGCUGGUAGAGCACUAAUGCCCACAUUUCUGUAAGCAUGUAAGCAGGGCUAGUGCAAGGAUAUUGGCUACAGCCCACCCGUUCCUCCCCGCAAAAAUGCAACAGUGUGUCCCUUAAUCCACCUCUUGAAUUUCUUACCCCCUUUUGUGUUUCUUAUCAUGUCUUACACCCUUUAUUGUAUCUUAUUCCCCAUUUUUCCCUUUGUGUGUCUCUUACACAUCCCCUUUGUGUGUCUCUUACCCCCCCCCAGCUCCUUUGUGUGUCUCUUGUUUCCCCCAACUCCUUUGUGUAUCUCUUUCUUCACUCGGACCCUUUGUGUGUAUCCUUCUCCUCAGCUCACUUGAGUGUCUCUUUCUCCUAUUUCCCAGCCUUCCUGUGUGUAUCUUCCCUUUCCCAGCCCCUCUGUAUGUCUCUUUCUCCCUCCAGCUGAUUGUAUGUGUCUCUUUCCUGCCUUCCCAGCCUUUCUGUAUGCCUCUUGCCCCCAGCACUUUGUCUCUUCCCGAGUCCCUCUUGGUCUCUUUGUCCCCCCCCAGCCCCUCUUGGUGUCAUCCCCCCAGGCCAAUGUCUGUCUCUUUUGCCCCUUCCCCAGCCCCUGUCUGUCUCUUUUGCUCCUUCCUAACCCCUCUGUGUCUCUUUGUAUUCCCCCUCCACCUCCUCCUUUGAGGUCUCUGCCCCUGUGCCAGCUCACCUACUCCUUGUAGCAUGGCCGGGCUGUGUUAGAAGAGAUUCGGUUUGUUCAACAAUGACACUUCCAUAUCCACUUGAGACAGGGCGCCUAGUACUGAGCACCGCUGAUCGACUGAGAGCCUCAGCUUCUUAAUUUGUUCCUAAUGGAAUGUUCCUGACUGCAGGUGGUCACAUUGUCUUAAUGCAUUAAAAAAAAACAAGUACAAAUUUCAAUACAAAUGCUUUGCAGCUUCUGCAGUUAGCAGUGCCAGUCCAGGAAGUGUCUCAGCCUAUCAGAAUCAUCUCCUUAAUUAUUAUAUUCAGCCCAAAGGUGUUUAUGGGAUAUGCAACUCAGAACUUUCUCAAAAAAAUAUUUUCAUCAAGUAAGCUGUACGUGUAACCUUGCAUGUGUGUAAUCUGGCAGGGAUGGUGGGGACAUCUACCGUGUGAGAACACACAGAUGCCCACUUCAGACUAGAUUUUAAAGGGUUGGAUUUAGCUAUGUAUUUUGGGGGGUAGCAGGCUUUUGAGGAACAAAAUCUGUUACGUUGAGAGCCCAUUUCAUUUUUAAGUUGGUUCUAAAGUUAUCAACUCAAAGACCAUAAUUAUUAAAUAAAUAUUGUGUCUGUAAGACAUGAUUUAUGUGAUCCUAUUUAUUGAUUCAAUGCUAUUUUGAUCUAAUGUGUACUGAGCAGAUACAAAGUAUUUCCUUUGGGAAAAAAAUUAAUUCAGUAUUUUAAAAAAACAUUUGAAAUAAAUGAAUUGUUUAAAUAACACAAUGAUUUCAUUGGCAUUAGUGUCCAUUGUAAGCAGCACUAAGUUGACAUAUUAAACUACAAAUUAUUCACUAUGCUAUGAAACACUCAGGGUUAUUUACUAAAGUAUUAUUUCAAAGUGAAUCCAAAGUGAAUUUCAAAUUUAAAUGGGCACUCCACUGCCCAAACAAUAACACAAACAACCCCUGUUUACUAGAUAUGCCAUAAUAAAAAGUUGAAUGCCUUUAAUUAUGCAUUUUUUUUUAUAAUUGGAAAUAUAUAUAAAAACAGUAAAAAUUGCAGUUCCUUUUCUGCAGCCUUUGUAAGCCCUCCCCUUCUAACUCCGCCCAGACUUUCUGUGUCUGUCCAAUCACAGACUUCCCAAUGCAGCUCAAUGAGAAGUAUUUUCAAGGCAGGUGCUCUGAGCAAUUGCUUGAGUUUAGCUUUACUGAGCUAACCAAACCAGGAAAUAACAGGACUGGUUGUCUGCUUGACAGCCACGGGUGUAGCAAAGAUUCUGUUGAAAUCUGCAGUUUUUGGAAAAAGAAAAAAAGAGAGAAAAUAGCAUUUAACUGGUAUAACAAUGCUUUAAGUUGGCUGCUUUGAACUAAAAUGUGAAAAUCACUUUGAAUUAGCUUUGGACUCUCUUUUUAGUAAAAUUCUGUCACUGUAUUACUUUACAUACCAGUGAUAAUAACACUUCUCUUUAAAGGCAUGGUUUGGUUUAAAAAUGUAUAAGUUUUGAUGCGCUUGAACAUACCUCCAAACAAUGGGUGGUGUGAAAUUUGGACGGAGUGGGUGGAGUCAUGUUUGAGCUUCACUAGUGAAGACGCACGUCAGUAGCGAUGUCCAUGAUGAUUAGCAUGCUGUCUGGCCAGGAAAGUGGGACUGUUGGGGAGCAUGCUUGAACAAGGCAGUUAAAAUAAAAAAUAUGCAUUUAUUAUUUUUCUAAAUUAUUUUCCUAAAACCCCACCUCUUCAACGUGUCCUGCAGCUAUACUGAUAUGUCCUCUUUUUGACCAGCAUUAACUUCCUCAUUCAUGAAUGCUUUACAAAUUAUAUUAAUAAAAUGAAAUGAGGGAAUAUGUCUGAAAAUAGUCUGCAGGCAUGAAAGCUUUGAUUUCUUGUUUCACCGUCUCAUACUGGAGCUUGGUUUGCAUUUGCAGGAAAUUAGCAAACAGGAGGACACAAACUUCAAAAGUAAACACACUGGGUUGUAUUUUCUUAGGAAAUUAGGGGUUAUUCUUUUUACCGAAUACUAAUUAUCCCAUAGACUUUAUUGGAGGAAUAGCUAUUCAGUGAGAAUUCAGUCCUGUGUAUGUAACGUAUUAAAGGUUCCUAAAUAAACAAAGUGAUUUAACUUCUAAAUGGCAGAGAAUUUAGCAGUGAGACUGCAGGAACAUGAUCUAUACACAAGAACCACCUCAUUAAAGAAACACUGUAGGCAAUUGAACUUUUUAUUGACGUGGUUAUAGUGUUUGGAGUUCCCUGGCAUCGCCAUUCCCUUCAGCGUUAAACCAUCUUUAUUGUUUUAUUUAAUGCUACACAAUUGUCUUACCCAAACAACCCGUCCUCUCUGUGCUGCUUGGGAUAAUAUCAAAACAUUACCCCGAGCAGCAAUGGGCAGCUCCGAUUGGCUAAGAGUAUCAGGUAACCAAGUUCUGCCUAUCAUAUUCCCCAUUCAGGUAUAAUUUACUAUAGCUUUAAGAAAGUGUAUGAUCUCUGCCUUAGCCAUACCUACAGUAGGACCCGGGCUGUGGGUGGCCAGCGACCCUCAUUAAAAUAUAUAUUUAUUGUAAGAUAUUUGUGUUAUCUAUUGAAAAACAGAUCUAUGAAAAAAUUAGGACUAAAUAGGCAAGAUGAUAGCUAAGUAAAAAUUUGUAAUGUUACUAACAUUUUGGCUUAAAUUUUACAAUAUCUAUAUUUUAUUUUGCCAUAAUUUACUGUUCAGUGAAAAGAAAAACCCUGGUUAUUUUUUAUACUGUUUGAUAUAAAAGACAGAGAGUUUACAUGCAUUCAUUAUGGACCAAUGACAAGAUAGAAAUUCCAUGGUCACAAGUGAUUUGUCAAAUGACGGUCCUAAACGAGGUGAAAAGAGUCACUUCACAAGAAAGAACUAAUCUGUUAGAUUUAGCAAACAAUUUUUAUUCAGCUAGAAAUAUCUGAUACCCAUGAACAUCCAUCUCUAAUUUCCUUCAAACAAAAACAUGUCUUCUAGUUAUUUUGAAAUGUAAAUCGUAGAAGUAAAACCCGGUACAUUUUAUGAAGAAUAAAUCAGAAUCACUAUUCUGCAAUCCCUGAUCUAACGCCUGUGUCGCAGACUGCAAUUUCCGCUGGGACGCAUAGAGAGAAUGAGAUGAAAUUUAGAAUGACACAUUUUUUUGACUUAGAGGGAGUGCUGUAUCUUUAAGCUAUAUUUUUUGCAGUUGUCAUUGCAUAUCGGAGCACUGAUUUCCCUUUGGAAUUUAAUUCUGGAUUUCUAUUGAGGAGUAUUACUUCAAGACUUCAAUCUGCCAUUUUAUUUCUCUAUUUAUUUUCUCAAUUUUUAUUUUUAUUUUUUUUAGUAUAAACUAAUUUCAGGUUUAUCCAGCAUCCAGCGAUCUGAAGAUGGCAACCUUAAUCAGGGAAUCAUCAGGUCGCUUCCGUUAGUUUUGAAGAGUCAAAUUAUUUCUUCUCCAGCUGAGUUUCCAAAAGGGAAUUUGUCAAAUCAGGUGCGUGAAAAAAACAGGAUGCACUCUACUUUAGAAAGACUGACAUAACCGCAUCAGUCAAAAAUACCCUAAAUGGGAAAUAUUUAUUUAUUUAUUUUACAAUCUGCUAAACUUCAAGCAAUGAUUGAUUCUUUCACCAAAUCUUCACUGACAAUAGCUUUUGUGACAAGACAACUAAGUGAGCAAAUUAACUGUAAUAUAAUGGUGCAAUUCCAUGCCCUCCAUCAGUUUCACAUUAGAAUUAUUGAGGCCCACUACACUAUACAUCCCAACAGUGGGAGUAGGCAAAGUGGGACAGGUGGCUCGUGUCACUGGUGAUGCCCAUAAUGGGAAGGCUUGCCCAGAAAAAAGGUGGGUCGUCCCGCUGAAGACUGUAGGGGUCACUCUGGCCUAGUGCCUUUCCACAGUGCGAAUGCAUGCCUGCCAAAGAAAGUUCCUUGUAAGGGAAGCCUGCUACACCCUCACUGGUCAUGCCCUCUGACACACUCCUUGACUCAUUCCUAAACAUGAAAACUACACUCACAGACACACACACACACAGAUAACUGCAGACACACAGACACACACACAGGUACUAGUACAAGCUACCAGACAGACACUCACACAGAUAACUGCAGACAUGCACACAUAUAACUGCAGACACACAGACAGACACACACAGGUACUGAUACAAACUGCCAGGCAGACACACACACAUACGCACGCACACACAGAUAACUGCAGACACACAGACAGACACACACAGGUGCUAAUACAAACUGCUAGACAGACACACGCAAGGAUACUGACUGCCAGAUAUGCGCACUGAUACACAAUGCCACACCAUACACUUUCCAGUAUAUAACCAAUUGAACAAACUGUAUACAGACUACACUACAGUCCUUAAAAGGUUGUUAAUACCUGAGUAUGAAUGGUUUUUGUGUGAAAUGAAUCAAGUUCAACAAUUAAUGUAAAAGCUCUAGGAUUUAAUAGCUGUGCAUUCACUACCGCAAGAAGCACGGCAUUUUAUUGAAAGGCUGGGUGUGUGUGUGUGUGAGUAACAUUAUUCAUGAUGGUCCUGGACUAACUAUUUUAGCUUCAGUUUUGCAAAUUAGUUAUCACAUCACUGCAAGUUUAUACCUCCCUGGUUUCCUUGUUUAAGACAGACAGUCCCUAUUUUUCGCCAAUAUCCCUCUGUCCCUCUUUUUUAUCCUAACUCACACCCUUAAAAUGUAAGUAUCCCUCAUUGUCCAUUGGAAAUGUUAGGGGGUAUGCAAAUCACUGCUUUGACAUCUAAUAUGUUAGUGGGUAUAUACCUAAAUUUUAUUUUAACAUUUUAUUGGGGGUUUAGCUAUUUUAGCACGUUUUGAAGGACCCUGACUAUUCUUAUCUGAAAUCACAGGUCUCUAACUGUUAUUAACAGUGGAAUUUUUUGAAGCGCAAUUCACUUAUACAAAAUAAAGUCUAUUUAUAGGUCUCGUCCAAAGAAAUCCUUUGAGUUCUUAUCAACUGAAUCAGCAUUUUUAUGUUUACAGUUUGUCAUUAUGUUCCAAUUUACUUGGCCUGCAAAACACUUGAUAAUGAUAAAUUACUACCUCGUUGCCAGUUCCUGCUACAGUUUCAGUAUUCUGCCUAAAUGUAUGAAAUAAACAACUUUACUUAAAGGAUGUAAUUUAGGUUUUUUUUCAUUCAGUCAGAGUAUAGUUAUCCAGAAAGAUCUGAAUCUGGAAGAAUAUCUCACUAUAAACUGUAAAUAUUCACUAAAAGCAAAUCCAGCCAAAGGCAAUGGCUAAAGUCACAUACAAAUACAAAAAUAAGGCCCAUAGCUUAUUCAUCCCCGAUAAGAUAAUAAUCAAAAUAAAAUUAAAAAUGCUACUUGCACACAAUCUCAAACCAAAGUGUACACUUUUAGUACCACUGGAAUAGCUAUUAAAGUGUAAGCUCACCAUUACAGAGAGCGUUUACUUUAAUAUUGGAAUGUUUUCAAGAUCCCGGGGACUAUUGGUCUGGCAGCAUACUCCGUAAUUAACUUAAUUUGGGGAACUCACCGGCACCUUGAUGAGUCAGAGGGGACUUAACUCAGGAGAGCUGAGAGCAACAUACAGUGCACUCAGGGCCGGUGCUACACUAUUUUGCGGCCUAGGUAAGACCAGCUAUUUGCAACCCAUCCAUCCCCCAAUUUUUCUUUUUUGCCAGAUUCAAUUUUUAAAAACAAAUUUGCAGAAAAAAAUAAUAAAACAUUAAACUACUAUGUCCCCCCAGCCCUUCUGUGUGUCUCUUUGUCUCCUUCAGCCCCUCUGUGUGUCUUUUUGUCUCCAAGCCCCUCUAUGUGUCUUUUUGUUCCCCUUAGCACCUCUGUGCUUUGUCUUCCACCAGCUCUUCUGUGUGUCUCUUUGUGCCCAAGGCCCUUUGUGUGUUUCUUCCCCCCUCCUCCCAAUUCUCUGCGUGUCUCUUUGUCCCCUCAUGUACCUCUAUGUAGAGUGGCUACAUGGACCUGAUUGGAUGAUCUUCUGUUUUCUCUACUGGGUCUGGCAGGAAUCUGUUCGUUGAUUUCCAUUAGCAUAACAAACACAGGGGGGUUAUGUAUAAAGAGAAAUUCCGGGGCAACAUUCUGCAAGUUGAGCUAUUACCAUGGAAACCAAUGGGAUAUCCCAGCUGAAUGGUCCACAUUUAGUACUUUACCCCAGAAUUACUCUUUAUAAAAAACACAAUGUGUGUUUUCACAGGACUAUUCACCUGUGUUUCUCUUAGAGAAGAUAAAACGGCAUAAAAUAAAAUAAUUUAAUAAAAAUCUUUCAAAUCAUUUCAUGUUUUACAGUAAUCUUCCUCACCCAUUGAAUUCACCUAAUUAAUAAAAUGUAAUGUUACCAUCAUAAUAAUCUCCGUAGACUUUCCUUUUACUAAUGUACGUCAUGCAAUUAUUUUAUAUUGUCAGGAACAGCAUAAAAAAUAAAGAGACUAUUGAUAAAAGUUACCGAUUUCUAUUGUUUGAAACAAAAGAAUCAAGUACGCUAUUCUUAUCGCAAUACUUUACUAAAAGCUAUUAAAUUAUAUUACACAAUAUAAUUGAGGAAGAAAAACAUAACGUCACCUAUAUAUCCAAGACAAAGAAAACUAAUGUUUGUUUAUGUGUUAGUAAAUUUAAUAAUAACAUCCACCAGCAACUUAUCUGCCCUUUUUAUAUUGCAUCGGUAAAGAACGAUGUGCUAAGAUAAACUUUAAUGCCGUUUGUUUCCUUUGGUAAUUGAGAUUCAACAAAAAUAAUAGUAACAUCAAUGUAUAUAGCCUGAUAAACUUUCUCCUUGCUGCUAAUACAAGCACGCCAUUAAAUUGACCAUAAAGAUGCUGGGGAAAAAAAAUCUGCUUAUUUAACAUUUUGUUUUUUUACUUUUUCUUCAGGAUGUUAAAAGUGUAUUUGUACAUGUAUGCAAAAAAACACCACAUUAAAGGGACACCGCAACAUUGAUUUAUCCACCAUUUGUGUGUAUUUUGGAGAUAACACAAACAUACAUACCAAAAUGCUGAUGUAUAGCAAACCACAGGCUCUGUUGCUACUCAAAUGAUUCUUCUUCAUUGUCUAUGCUCUUUUAGCCGAUCCCGGUCCUUCUUUAGAUACAACAGGGGUUUACAAAAAAUGGGUAUCUGUAUGUUUGCCUGGCAUCCUGUCAUCAAAAUCUGAAUGUUUCACAUGUUGCAGGUUGCAUAUUGCAGAAACUUUCAGAAUUAUUCACUCAAGUAAGAAUUCAAAAAGAAUUUCAAAUGUUAGGCCAUAGUACCUGAAUUUGAAUCAAAACUGAUUUAGAGAAUUUUUUAAAUAUAAAUACUUUGACCCCAAAUUUUGAAAUUCACUUUGAAUUAAGUUUAAAAAGCUCACUUUACUAAAUAGCCCUGUCCGUAUGCCUGGAGAGUCCUUUUAAAUAUUCAGCAAUAAAAAAUUUAAUUUUUUGCUUAAUCACAUCUGGGUUGAAAAAAAGCCACAUGCAGAGUUUUGUACGGGGCAGGCAGAUGUUGUGGACUACAGUCAUAAUGCUGACAAAGCAUCAGAGGAGAUGUAGGUCACAACAUCUUGGAGAGCAAAGGGUUGCCUACCCCUGGUCUAGUACAUUGGCUCCCUAGGAUUCUGUUAGUGAGUAAUGGGAAGAAAAGAAAGAUAUCACUGAAAAUAUUGUACCUACUGGAGGGCCUUAAUGGCAAUAUCUACAGAAUGACUGUUAGUGAUUGGUCAAGUAGUUAUUACUAAGUGACCAUCACUUUCUAGAGCACUAUAAUGUUUUAUUUCUUUGCUUAAUAAGGCUGUAGACAAUAUAUGAUUUACAGUGAAUCUGUCACCCCUGAGAUUUAUUUUCUUUUACCUUUAAAAAUUGUCCGUAGUUUAUUAUUCCUAUUCAUACAAUACAUUAUUUAAAUAGACAUUAAUAUGUUUUUAUUUUUUUUAUUUUAAAUUAAUUGCCAUAACAUUUCUUUGAAAUCACCGGAUGCAUUGCUAGUAUAUAAACAUAGCAUAAAACUAACUUUAUGUAUAAAACUAUUUCAGGCAAAUGUAAAACAUUAAUAAUAUUAAAAUAUACAUAAUCUUUGCUUUUGAUUACUUUGUGAGAUAGAAAAGAGAUUGGGUUGCCAUUCACAGCCUCACUGCAGAGAUGCAGAGGACAGAAUCGACCUGUUUGAGAAUUGAAUAAGUUGGGCUUUCUUAUCUUAUUGUUGUUUUCAUUACUUUCUGUGUAUCUAUUUUCUUUCUGUUAAAGUUUUAAAUGUAAUUUGUGAAUCUAUAUUGUGAGCAGAAUUGUCCCAAUUUAAAAAUGCUGCACAAUUAUUUACUCAUAUACCUUCAGAUUCCCUUAAACGUCUCAUAAUAUAUGUUUAUUAUAAUCCUCUGGAGACAUUAUAUUAAUCCAGGGAAUCAAAAGAUAAUACUGACAAAUUAUGUAACCCACAGUGCAGUCCAUAAAUGUAUCCUCCCAUUGAAAUACUAGGUAGAUUGCGUAAAAUAUACAGCACAUGCGUGCAUGCAUGCACACAAUUCCAAUAAAGUUGGAAUUGCAAAUAGGAAACUUUUGUGAAUAUGACAUUUUAAAAGAUGAAAAUCUUUGUUUUAACCCCUUAAGGACACAUGACGUGUGACAUGUCAUGAUUCCCUUUUAUUACAGAAGUUUGGUCCUUAAGGGGUUAAAGCUCCAGCACUAUACCUUUCUUUGAGAAGUCAUACUACCAGGGAUCUCAGUGAGACCCCAUUGUUGACAAAUGGAUCUUAAUCUUCAAACAGCAAAUACAUUUAUCAUAAGCAGCCUGAAAAAACUACAUUAUUUUAACCAUGUGAAGAUUGUCACAUUUACUACAUAUUACAGUUUUGAAAAUGUUGCUUUUCCCAGAUCCUUUACAUGCAGAUUUCCUUGUGAUAUUCAUCUAAAGCAACACUCUAAGCACCAAAACCACUACAUAUUAAUGUAGUGAUUAAUGUAGUGAUUAAUGUAGUGGUUUGGUGCAAAAAAAACGCUGUUUCUUUUCUUGGACAAUAUAAAUCAUUGCUGUUUCUAUAGACUGACUGAAAUAGAAAAAUGUCAUUCAGUGAAAAGACUCACUACUACCAUGCUAGGGGCAUGUAUGUUUGGACCUUUUAAUAUGUAGACUAGGACUGGACAGCAGUUCUCAGAAUUCCCAGCCAGGUCUGACUCUCUGUUGAAGCUGAAAGCUGUAGUUUACACAGGAGUCUAGCACAGCUAGUAAACUAAUAAAAUACACUGAGCUUGCAAGAAGUAGAUUAUCACGUGAUGUAAUGUACUAACAUACUAAGGCCAUAUAGGCCAAAACAUCGCAUUCUGUGUUGUAUAAAUGUAAUUAUUGAGCACCUGUAUUCUGAUUCUACUGUGGGGGGACGCAGAUCCCUCAUUUAUGGACCUCCUGCCGGGGUGCUGGUGACCUGUGACCAGCUAUUGCCUAGAGGGCCACACCAUCCUACUUUUGGAAUUAUCUGUUGUAUAAUAGUAUCAGCAUCUAAUGUGUGACAUCUCAGGAAAUUUGUGCCACAGAGGUAUAUUACAGUCCUGAAAUGUUAUCCUGGUUUUAAAGCCAGAUUGAGGCAUGCUUGACACCUGCUUAAUAUGACUUGUAGACAUUGCAAACAUGUAAUACUUCAUAACAACGUUAAAGGGGAACUACCGCCUCUCUGGAAAUUACAACAUUGAAUAACAUUUCUAAAAAAUCACCUGUAUCUUAUGUUCAUGUGAUGCUCUUUUCUUUUACAUUUAUAUUAGAGAUUUAACAAAUGUCAUCACAAAGCAGUUUAGCCCAAGCACAUCCAGGGCACACUUUGCAAAUGAAGAAGAUACAUAGAAACAUUGUCUGGUUUCUCCUUUUCUCUACAUGCUUUCUCUAUGCGGACUGACAAGAACAAAGGGCAAUGCUUAUAACCAUGACUGAGUCCAGUUGCAAGAUAAAGAAAUGUAGCAGUUUUCAUUUAUUUUAUUUUUCAGACCUCCAAAGCACAUGUUUGUGAAAUGUAGGGGAUAAGUAAGCCUAAUACAGAUAGUCUUCACUUAGCGACUUACCUUACCAGCGACUGCUCAGAUUUAUGACCAGCUCUCUAGCGCAGAGAUUUGAGGGAUUCUCCACGUUGGAGAGCUCGUCUAUGUUCGGGGAAUUUUCCGCAAACAUAGAUUACGACCAAGUCGUAAGAACGGAACAUGGUCAGUAAGUGAUGACCAUCUGUAUGAAUAAUCCUGUGAAGUGAUUGUUGUCCUUUAAUCCUCAUACUUUGUCUUCCACUUUCUAAACAUUCUAAGCAGUGGUUAUUCUGUCCCACAUCCGUCACAGUUCGAUCUUUCUGUCCCGGACACCGAGAGCACAUACUGUUCUAUCCAUCCUAUACUUUAUGUUCUAAUUCUACCUGGUGCAUUUUAAUAUUACUUUGGGAAUUAACUGCUUUUAAAGAGUAAGCAAACUGUCUUCCAAUACUGCCUGCUGAAAUCCCAGGAUGAGAACGUAGAACACGAGCAAAUGCUGCAGUGACUGCAUGUAAUCUUGGCCACUAAAUAACUGGAUUUUAUAUGUUUCACCAUUAACCCCAUCCUGUCCAGACAGUAGUUAGGUACACUGCCUUCAUCCAGAAACAAGCAUGCAGAUCUUCCUUUAACGAAAGCAUGUGUACAGAUGUAGCGAUAUCUAAUGCGACAAGCACCAAUGUUUCAGUUUCAAAUAAACAAAAUCCAAUUUAAGUUAAAAAAAAGUGCCUAUCAGUAAAAUCAGAUCUGACCUAGAAAGCUGGAUGGAUUGUAAACAGUGAAGUAAACACUGGCUUUUACGAGAGUCCGUUUAAUGUGUAAGGCUGUUUCUGUGUCUUAUUCCGACAUAUUCCUGCUCUGGGAUUUUUCUUCAUUUUUUUGAUUACUACUCUCAGCCCAGGAAUUUGGAUACUGACCCAAUUACUGGCACUUUUACUACCACUGAUUAAGUGCUUGUACCAGCUGCUCAACACAGCGCACAUUUUAUCUUUUCUGUUCUACAAAGUUGUACACUAAGCAUAAUUACAUCUGCACAUCAAAUGCUUCUAGCCCAAUUUCAGUCUGUCGGCACAGAAGUCUGCAGGGUAGAGGAUAUGGCACCACCACUAAACAGUAAGUUUGUAGCUCUUAAAGGAACACUAGAAGUACUAUGACAUCUACAGCAUGCUGGGGUGAUCAUGGAGUCAGGAGAGCCCUGAUGGCACCCGAUGUAAGUAAUCGAACCAUUUCAUACAAGGCUCUGCUCCCCGCUCCUCAGCCUCUAGGAGAGCCAGAAUUUCCUCUUCCAUUAGAUCCCCUGAACAACGCCAUAAUUGCUGGCCUUAGCUUAGAUCCAAGAACUAACUUCUGGCUAGAGAGGAGGCAGGGAAUGGUGCUUGGCAAACCCCAGGUAUAAAGUCAAACCGUUACUAAACUGUUUUUGGACUGCACGCUGUAGUGGUUAUGGUGGUUAUGGUACAUGGAGUAUUCUUUUUACACUUGCGGUGCUCAGCAUGGGUGUAGAAACACGUUUCUACUAAGGAUCCUGCGCCGGGCUUCUUAUUUUGAUCUCACCCUUGGUCACCUCCUUGAAACAUUUUUCUGGUUACCACUGUAUUCAAAACUCAUUAUGAUAAAAUAAUGAACAAAAUUAAUAUAUCUAUAUAUAAAUAGCGAGGGUUUGCACUCCUGGUGUAAUCGUGUGGUGCCCGGGUGCUGGUCUGGCAAGAAUCAUGUAGACAUAGCAGAAAUGACUGCACUCCAAGGACUUUGCAUAGAUUUUCAAAAAUAAUUGAACUUUUAUUCAAUCCAAUUAAAAACUCUCAUAUUUUAUCCUGAUGAAAGCUGUUAUCUUUGACCCUGAGGAAGGUCCCAAUCGGGGACUGAAACGUUGGUCGUUAUUUUUUAAUUAUUACAAUAAAUUUUCAUUUUAAGUCCGGAGAGCAGCCUUUCUUGUUGGAUGUUGUACCUAUUGGAGCUCUGGUAGUGCGGCAUUGGAAUACCACAAGCGUGAGUGCAGGGGAUUUUGGUAUUUUUUUUUUUAUAUGUAUAUAUAUGUAACGGCUAAUAUAAUAAGUAUAAACCCAUCAGGACAUCUGUUAUAUUAUCCUUAGAUUGCCGUGCUUAGAAUUUCACAUUUUCAAGCAUUGUUGAUCCAUUUUAUGUCAAAACAAAAAAACAUGUAUUUAUUUUUCAUGUUUAUCAGUAUAACUGAUCUUGUGUUUUUGAAUAAUAGAGACACAUAAAAUACAUUUAAUUUACAAUUUUAAAUCAGUUUUGAAAUGAAAGAAUGCAGCCCCCCCCCUCUCUCCCUCCUGCCCCUGCCCAGUGCUUCCAAGAAAUCAUAUUAAACAAGGUUAUGAAGGUGUUCUAAGAGUAAGUUUUCAUGUUCCCAAUGUCAGUGAGUCUGUCUAACAGGACAAUCCAACCAUAUCCUACACUGGUUAACCUGAUAAGUUUGGCUAAAUAUGGCCUGAUAUAUUUGUUAACAAUUCCCGUAAAUAACGAUCCCUUGCUUUAAUAUGAAGCCUCACCAUCUUUUUAAGACCGUUUUAAUUAGAUGCUUCAAUCCAAGCAGUAUUUCAUACAGAUUUACAAUAAUGUCCUUACCUUUCUGUUUAAUUAAAAUGACCUCAUUUUACUGGUGGGUCUAAACUGUAUUUGGCAAGCCCUCUUGUUUCUUCAAUCCUCUGGCAAAACCUUUCUAUAGCAGUCGGUAAAGUAGAAGUCAUUUAGUCACAUGCCUGGAUUCGGCUCAGAGUUGUACCAAAGCCGGUACCACGUGUUCAUGCUGAUUUCUGUAUUUUUCUGUUUAUAUUUUAUUUGUCGAGCCAACCAAAACAGAAAUCCUGCUUAAACAUGCAAAAACAUUCAGCUAAAGAAUUUCUUCCUCUCAUUUAACUAAGGCGAUCAGAACAGAAGAAACAGUCCAAGCUGCUAAGCAAGACGCAAUAUUGUUAUAUUAUAUCUUAUGGUCCCUAAUAUUAUUAUAAAUAUAUGUGUAGAUCCAUUUAUGUUAAAGGGAUUCUAUAGUGUUUGAAAUACAAACCUUAUUCUUACAUUAUAGAGCCCUCUGGUCCCCCCGGCGUAUAACGGGUUAAAAAACAUUUACUCACGUACCUGAUUCCAGCGCCAAUGUCUCUCGGUGCUGGGUCUGUGCUCCGACAUGUGGAGGGGGCUCACAUGCAUGCGGUAAGCUCUGCAGGCACAUUAGGCCCUCUCCAUAGGAAAGAGUUGAGUCAAUGGUUUACUAUAGGAAUUUUACUGACACUGACACUGGACGUUCAGCAUCAGUUAGACCUACGGUCCUGUAAAAUCCCAGAAGCGCCUUUGGUCGCUGUCUGAUUGACAGCCACUAGAGGCAGUCUUAGUCCUGCAAAGUAAUUUUGCAGGUUCUCUUAAGCUGCAAUGUUUUACAUUGCAGGACUAAGGGAGACAGGAACACUGUAAACAGACCACUUCAAUGAGCUGAAGUGGUCUGGGUGCCUAUAGUGUCCCUUUAAAAUAAAUACAUCUGGACAUUGAAACUUUUUUUAUAAAUAUAUAUAUAUAUUUCUAAAUCUUUAACAAAUGUUAGUAGUACAUAUACAAUUGAUAGGAUAGAUUUCUGUAACAUAUCAGAAUGUUAAUGAUUAGCAUUUAAUGUUUUAAUAAUCCAUAUAUGUUUAUUUAAUCUGUGAGUUUGGAUUUUAAAUUCUAGGAGCCAUGCUAAACAACUACUUAGGCUGUGAUUUAAACUGCAUAUCCCAUUAAUCCCUGCUGGACAAGUGUUUAUGGGAUAAGAAAAACUUUGCAUAAUCCUGAUCGGAGGAUCUUGUACUUGCUACAGACAGAAGGAACUUUUAAGGGAUCUUUUUCAAUGUAAGUCUAUUAGUUGCAUUUUUAAUGCAUCGUCUAUAUAUAAUGUAUUAAGUCAGGGGGUGAUUCCUGCUCAUAUCUACAUUACCUCGUCCACAUCUUGGGAUCUUUUCCUGAAAUCACAUUUAAUGGUGACCAAGCGUUUCUUUUGUGGCGCUGUAAGAAUUUAAUUUAUGCGUUGCAUAUUAUAUAAUAGAAUGGUUUGACUUGGCUUUAUUCAUUACUUGAUCCAACAUCUAUUUUAAUUCUUUACAUUUUCCAACAACUAACUGUUUCUUAUGGCAAGCUUUUGCUUGCAAAAUCUUUGAGAUAUCAUGUUUAUUUUUGGUUUGUAAUAAAAUAUCUAAAGCAAAUAACAUAGUUAAAAAGUCUACAUUCCUCAUAAACUAUAGUAUCAAUAAUGCUAUUCUUUAAUGCAAUUUUCAGUUCACUGCAAUAUGUUAUUUAGAAAACAAACCCCAGAGUGUCCCCACAAUCUCCUAUUAAAGGGACUCUCCAGUGCCAGGAAAACAAACCCGUUUUCCUGCCACUGCAGGAUCCCGUAGCCACUAGAGGCAGUCUUAGUCCUGCUGCUCCACCCACGCUCCUCCCCCCACUGAAGUCAGCCGACGUGGGAGAUCUAAUGCGCAUGCGCAGCAAUGGCCACGCAGCAAUGGCCGCGCACGUGCCUUAGACCUCUUCAUAGGAAAGCAUUAUUCAAUGUUUUCCUAUGGGGGUUCUGGUGAUGCUGGAGGUCCUCAUGCAUAGCGUGAGGAUGUCCAACGUCAUUUAAAACACUUUUCGUGUUCUAAGAAACCGGAAGUCCCUCUAGUGGCUGUCUGAUAGACAGCCACUAGAGGAGGACUUAAACCUGCAAGGCAAUUAUUGCAGUUUAUAAAUGGGCUGAAGUGGUCUGGGUGCCUGGAGUGUCCCUUUAAUGUCCUAACCAAAUACAUAUCUUGGUAAACAUUCAUACUGCUAAAUAUAACAAAAAGUGGACUCCACAGGAUCACCCCUUCUGGAAAUUGUAAGGAAUUAAAGAACAUUUUAUCCUGAUUUUCACCAUAUGAAAUUCGAUGCACAACAAAUCAAACCCUUAGUAUGUGACGCACAGCUGGAUAAUCAGGAGAGAUGAAUAAGUAGUUUUUCUGUUGUAUUUCAAAUAACCGGAAUAUAUUUAAUAUCUACUCACCUUUUCAAUUAAAAAAUUAAAACUUUUUUUUUUUCUUUUUAACAAAACAAACAACCCUCCUGAGACUUUGAAGUGGUCUCACCACUCAGCAUUUCGUAAACAUAUAAUCUUUAUGAUAAACUCAUGCUGCCUGGAUUGAAAUUUCAAUUUAAUCCAAAAAUACCAUAAGAUAAAGUAGGAAAUACUUUGCAUUAUGUUUAUUAAACAACACAGAGAUGGAUAAAUAAACAUUUUAUGUUCCUUAUCUAAUGCACUUGGCAUUAAUCCAAGACUUCAGUUGUUAAGCCUGCAAUGAUCAUCCCCCUACAGGGGAUACAUGAGGAGACCUGUUUGUGUCUCUCUUGCCAUCUAUUAUUGGGGGAACAGGCUACCCAUCUGUAGAAUGAAUAUAAGCACAAAGCAUCAUGCUCUCGGAUUUUGGACCUGCAUCAGGAUAUGCCUUUACUGGUUUGACUGGACCUGAGUGUCUUGUAGUAUCCAUUUUCUUCCUCCAGGGGUGCUACAAGAUUCCAGCAGCAUCAUUAGCAGCGAUAAUCCAAUAAUAAUUCUGUUCAUUCAUCUUACGACAGUCCUGCAAGCCGUGGUUGUUGGUAGCUGAUUCCAUAACUCGACUUAUCAAACAAACUUUCACUUACCGUAUAUACUCGUGUAUAAGUCGAUCUCAUGUAUAAGUCGAGGGCAGUUUUGUGACCAACAAUUGUGCUGUGCCUCGUGGAUAAGUCGAGGGUAAAACUUGGGGCUAUGAAAUUCUGUGAUUUUUAGAAUUAUAUACACACACACACUCAUACAAACACACACUGCAUUAUACACACACACACUCAUACAAACACACACUCUGCAUUAUAUACACACACACUCAUACAAACAAUCUGCAUUCUACACACACACUCAUACAAACACACACACACUCUACAUUAUAUACGCACACACUCUGUGUGUAUAUAAUGCAGAGUGUGUGUGUGUGUUUGUAUGAGUGUGUGUGUAGAAUGCAGAUUGUUUGUAUGAGUGUGUGUGUAUAUAAUGCAGAGUGUGUGUUUGUAUGAGUGUGUGUGUGUGUGUGUGUGUGUGUGUGUGAACUGGGUGGGAGGAGGGCAUUUUUAUUAUACAUUUUUAUUUUAAUAUUUUAAGUUUUUUAUUUUAUUUUAAUAUUUUAAGUUUUUUAUUUAUUUUUUUUUUAUUUUUUUUUAUCAUUUAAUUUAGUUUUCGUCCCCCCUCCCUGCUUGUUAGCUUGCCAGGGAGGGGGGCUCUCACUCCCUGGUGGUCCAGUGGAUGGGCUGAGUAGGAGGGGGGGCUGACAGUGAGCGGUUACUUACCUUCCUGCAGCUCCUGUCAGCUCCCACUGGAAGUCUCGCGAGAGCCGCGGUGACCCCGCUCUCGCGAGACUUACAGUGGGAGCUGACAGAGGAGCUGCAUGGAGGAGAAGGGAGCUGAGAGGAGCUGCAGGAAGGUAAGUAACAGCUCACUGUCAGCCCCCAACAGGACCGCCGGGCUUGUAAUGAGCCCGGCGGUCCUGGUCUGUAUUAUGGCAAUGUAAAUUGCCAUAAUACUGACAUUAACUCGAGUAUAAGUCGAGUGGGGGUUUUUCAGCGCAAAAAAUGUGCUGAAAAACUCGACUUGUACUCGAGUAUAUAAGGUAUGUCUCUUUGAGAUUUUGUUUGUCUUGACAAUUCUGUUCCUAUUUUCAUACUCUGUGUUCUAAAAUGGAAUGAGGAGAUCUUGGACAACUAUUGAAAAUCAAUUCAAACAGAAGGAAGAACUAUUACACCGUUCUUCGAAUAGUUUAUUUUACAGCCAUCUUGUAUAUAUUUGUAGCUUAUUUAUGUCAUGUUUUAUCAUAAUUUGAUUCAAAUUGUAGCUGUUUCUUUCUCUAAAGGCUUAUAAAAACUUACAUAACCAGUUUGCUCAAAAUAAGCAGCUAUGAUGUGUUACCAUUCCACUAGUUUCCCCUGUGUGUAUAAUAUUUUUUGUUGUGAUAAAUUUGUUUUAUAAGAAUAACUUACAAAGGAUCAGUGAUGGUAAUAUGCUAACACCGCAGUUCGAAGGAAUGGGCAUCACACUGAAUCUACAGAAAGACCAAAUCUUUAAUCAACCGACAUUAUACUAUCAAUUAAAUCAAAGAUUCAAAAUAAAAUCACUUUGUUAAGUAUGUCAAAGCUCUAAGGGAAUCAAAGAAUUGUAUUUCUUUCUUGUCCGGCAUGAUGACCUGCUAAAUUAAAGCAUGGUUCUUUUGUAGUGUCAGUGUGAUACACUUUUGUACAAAUAUUUGAAUUUACAUGGAGUGGGUGUAUUUAUUAUUUAUGUGGCAUUGUCAUUACAGUCUGGUCACCAAAAGACUCUGUUACCUUACUCUAUAGGGGUAAAUAUUCAAGCCAUUCUUUACAUCACAUGGUCUGCAUGGGCCAGAUUGCAAUGGUGACAUUGAUUGUCAUUGGUGCAUAAAUGUAAAUCGGCAUUUGAGGGUGGAUUUACCACUUAUUGUACCACUCUCCUUUUGCCCACCCACCCUGGUCUCACUUUAAUUUAUUUCCCAUACGUAUUAAUGUGAAUAAACCCAAUGUCAAUCAAUGAUUAGUCCAAUUCUUCAAUUGCUCAUAUCUGAUACUUCUCACACUGUUUCUAUUCGCUGUUACCUUCUGUGUCAUUGAAUACAUUUCUUUUUAUUGGUCUUACAAAGUCUCUACUACUUUUGUUUAAUUUGUUUAUUCCACAAGCUAAAAGAAUACAUAAUAUUAAUUGUAAAGAUCUCUGGAUCAGAUCUCUAUAUAAGAAAUGAUGAAUAAAUAUUUUUUUUAUUAAUUUUAUAUGUAAUGCCCGUAAAUGAAAUAUAACUCUUAAUCAUCCAUUUUUUCCGAGUUCUGAUUGUCGUCCUUUGUCUAGCAUCACUCACGCAGCAUCUCCCAACCAGUUAUUGUCAAAUCAUAUUGUCACUGAGUUUGCAUCCCAUCACAUGAUCCCUUACUCACUAAUCUGUAAUUAAUUCAGUUACUUAUUCACGUAUAAUGCAUGAUAGUCACAAAAGGCUUUUCAUGCACUAAAAAAAAAAAUAUAUAUAAUUUAAAUAUUCUCUUUAACACAAGGAUGCACUAGGUGCAAAUACAUUGAAUUCUGUUAGGAAUCAGUGAGUAGGUAUUCUGUAUAACACACAGGAAAACAUACAGAGAUAUACAUCUUUUUCUCCAGAAAUUGUACAUUUUUUUAUAAAGGCAGUUUGUCUGCAUACCUCCCUGGGAUGUUCCUUGUGUGACCACGUUUAUUUUCAGUUCAGCAGUCGAUUAAUUUAUAAGACAUAACAGAAUUGUUCCAUAUAAGCAAAGUAGGAACUCUCAUAGCCAUUUGGCCAAUUUCCAAAUCAGAUUGGUAUCAAAAGCAGAUGGAUUGUAUGAACUCUUUACUUUAGUUUAACACCCAAGUCAAACAAAAUAUCACUGAAAGAUUAUGGUUUUAAACAUAUUUUUCCCAACAGGCUUCAUGGAAAUGAUAAAAAAAAAUCAUUUAGGAUUGGAUUUUGGGGGGGUGUUAGGUUACAAAAUGACAGAGUUGGAUUUGAUUUUUUCAUUUAAUUGAGGUUUAUAGAAACUGACAAUAAAUGAGCAGGAAAAAGUUACUGAUUUGAAGAAUUUGUCCAAUUCUUUGUUUUGACAUAAAAGUUGCAACUACCUUGUUAUCUUUCCACAAGUCCCAGGUAAAAACAAAACAAAAAAAAAACUCUACUGUUAUUGAAUAAACCGUAAAUACUCAAAAAAGGUGAACUUUAUAAGUAACGUACAACAUAAAAUAAUGUGAUUUAAAACACAAAUUCCCUUUGACAUCACAGAUACCUUUUGGAAGGGCACAUACUAGGCAUUUUAUGCAAAUAAUGUUUUACAUAGCUUAUUUAUUCUGUUCAAUUUCUAACAUUUUAUUUAUUCAGUUAAAUUGUACUACGGCACACGAUUUGCUCUCGAUAACAUUAGUUAAUUUCCCAUUGAAGGUGGUAAUUAAACGAAUUUGGACGCAAGAAAUGAACCCCAGUGAAAUCAAUAGGACACAAUGCUGCCAAAAUGGCUUUUUUUUUAAGAGGGGCUAUAACAGUUUUAUAGAAAUAAUACAGUCAUGGGACAAAGAAGAUAAUUUAAUGGGGCAGUCUGUCUAUCCAUGUGUCUGUCGGUCUUUCUCUCUUGUAUGCAUACAUCCGCUUACUAGUUUACAAAGAAACCCUAGCACAUAAUUAUUAUUUCCGUAGGCUUCCCUAAACUCCGGCCUUCCAGAUGUUACUGAACUACAACUCCCAUGAUGCUCAGCCUAUCUAGUUCUUUCAUAGAAUCAUGGGAGUAGUAGUUCAGCAACAUCUGGAGAGCCGGAGUUUAGGGAAGCGUGCGGAAACAAUAAUUAUGUGCUAGAGUUUCUUUGUUUAGGGAAGCCUGCGAAUAGGACUACACAAUUAAAGGACCAGAAAACCAUACAUGACGUUGCUCAUUUCUGUUAUUUGAGUCUUACUGGGGAUGAGAAUACUUCAGAAUGUUCUUAUGGAAUGAACUUGUAUGUUACCAAAUGUUUCUGUUUAAUCAUUUCAAUGCAGUUCCGCUAAUAGAAUUACGUUAUUUAUUUAUUAUAUGAUCAUGUUAUAGAAAAAAAAGAGUGUAGAAUUAGUGGACCUUUUGGUGCAAUUUAAAAUCACGUGUAAGCAGAUGAAACCUUUUAAAACGACUCUACGCUUUUGCCAAAUAGAAUUAGAAUUCUGUAGAUGUUCUGUUUCAGAUACUUGUAAUUCUUGCGAGCCAGGACCAACAUAAAACAACGAUAAUUGCCGAUAUUAAUUAUAAGUGAAAAGUUUUUUUUAUUUAUUGUCUAGACAAUUUGUUACUAGGUAAAACUGUAGCCUCAUUAAGUUGAGUAUUACCUUAAUGGAAUAUGGAAAAAAAAAACACCAUCAACAUGCUGUCAGCCGGGAAGGACUUACAACACUUAGCGAACAUCAUUCGUAAUAGUCACCUAAAUGGCAGAGUACAUUGACAGUCCAAAUAAAUAGCACAUUGUGAAAUUUAUCACUGAGCACUAAUUUAAUUAACUAAGGUGCCUUUCCUUGUUGAUGAUGCUCAGAUAGUUACAAUGUUUCAAGGGACGUCAAGUCCCAGGAGAUCAAGGGUAUUGCUGUAGUUUGAAGGACAAAUAACUUUUUAUUAAAACUUAUUGAUAAAUGUACAUCAGCGAUAUAUUAGUUACUAGAUAAUAUUCAAAUAACAUAAUUAGCUAAUAUUGUAUGUGAUGCGUUUUAAUUUCCUGUGUGUGUUUUACGUUAGAUGUAAUGUUGAAAAAUGUAAGUGCCCAGCUGCAGAUCUUAUGGAUUGAGAUGUUUAAAUAAAAGAAAACCCACGAGGUAGCUAUAGAUACGUUGGAGCUGAUUACUUGUCAUAAUGCCACAGGUCUAUCUUACGCUACCUCAGGUUAUUUCCCCAAUUUCUGGUACUUUGGGAAACCAGAGGAAAUUACUGAAAACUUCAGCUAGAAAAACUACGUACAUCGAAGAUUGUGCUGUCUUCAGAACACACAGCAUUCCGUGCAUGCGCAGAGCAAGGUGAUUGCUGAUGGCUGAUGGUUAUACAUUAUAGGUUAUUAUGCACACCUAUUGACUAACACGCUACCUGUGCCAGCAUUGGUUUCUCCUUGUCUUAGGUGUACACCAGGAGAUUAUUUGCAUCUAAGCUUUACUUAAAAAAAAAAUACUAAUGUUAAAAUACAUAUAUGUAGUUUCUGCAAGUGCCAUUAGGGGUUUAUAGAAUGCUUAUUCUGGAUUCCUGUGCGCCAAAUAAUUACCAUCUGUUAUGUCUUAUUGCUGUUUGAAUGAAGAUAAUGAAUACUUUAUAAGGAAGCUAAAAUGAUUACCUUUACAAUUGUUCUAAAUGCUGUAAUAGAAGAUUCAGGUUGUUUUAACUCUUCCUGUACCAUAACAGAGUGCUACCCAACACUUUGCUCAUUCUUCCAUCAUUAAAGGUUUUAAGUGUGGCUGCAGAUAGACGGACAUCGCAAUCAAUACUCGUAAUAAGUACUUUCUCUGCUAUUACAUUUCACAUAAAGUCUUAAUUGGAAAAAGAAACCCUAAGACGGCAGAUUUCCAAAGAAAAUUAUUAGCUAAAAAUCAUAUUUACAAUGGCACCGUGUCCUGAUAAUAAGGACCUCUAGAUCUUUUUCACAUUGGCGUAUAACAUGAUUGCAGAUCAUGCAGUCUAUAUUCCUGUUACCAGGAAAACUAACUGACCCACUUAGUAACUGAAAAACUGCAGAUUGUGUUAUAAUAUAAACACAAUUUAUUACAGGAGCCGUGCUCCACAUUAUCUUCAGCUCUCUACCAACCAACCAAGACUAAUUUCAAAUUUAAAAACGGAAGGAAGGAAAGAAGGGAGGAAGAAAGGAAGGGAGAGAGAGAGGAAGGAAGGAAGGAAUAGAAGACAGAAGAAAGAGAGGGAGGGUGGAAGCAAGGAAGGAUGAGAGGGAGGGUGGAAAGAAGAGAAGGAGGAUGGAAAAGGGGAAUGAAGAGAUGGAGGGACGGUGGAAGGCAGAGAUGGAGGAAGGAAUGAAGAGAGGUAGGGAGGGAGGAAGGAAAGGAAAGAGAGAGGGAAGGGAGGGAGGGAGGGAGGAAGGAAGUGGAGGAGGAAGGGAGGGAGAAAGGAAGGAAAAGAGGGCAGAAGGAAAGAAGGAAGAGAGUAAGAAAGGAAGGAAGAAAGGGAGGAUGGAAGGACAAGAGGGCGGAAGGAAAAGAGGAAGAAAGGAAGGGAGGAAAGUAGGAAAGAAGGAAAAGUUGAAGGAAGGGAGGAAGGAAGAAAAUAAGGAAGGAAUAUAGGGAGGAUGGAAGGAAGAGAGGGAGGAAGGAUGAGAGAAAGGAAGGAAGGAAGGAAGAAAGGAAGGAAAGAAGAGAGGGAUAAAGGAAGGAAGAGAAGGAGGGAUGAUGGAAGAAAUAGAUGUAGUGAGGGAGGAAGUAAGAAAGAGAGGAAGGGAUUUGAGGGAGGGAGGAAGGAAGGGAAAAAGGAAGGAAAAGAGGGCAGAAGGAAAGAAGGGUUAGAAAGAAAGGAAGAAAGGGAGGAUGGAAGGACAAGAGGUAGGAAGAGAGGGUGGAAGGAAGAGAGUAAGGAAGGCAGAAAGGAAGGAAGAGAGGGAGGGAGGUAGGAAGGAAGAGAGGAAUAUAGAAGGAAGGAAGAGUGGGAGGAAGGGAGGAAGAUGGGGAGGAAGGGAGGGAGGAAGGAAGGAAGAGAGGGCAGAAGGAAAAAAGGAAGAGAGGAAUGAAUGAAGGAAACUCACACAGAUUAAUUUUAUUCUCAUAAAUCAUAUGUUUGUUCACAGUAUGUAAGAUCUGAGCAUUGAGUUCACUGCUAUACAGCGUUGGAUACAAUUCUGAUUGAUGUUGGCUAUACUGAAGAGGACAAUAAAACACAGUACAAGAGAUAGAUGAUGUGUCUGGGUUUGCUCACAGUUCACUAAGUCACACUUGAGUAAGACUUCGACCAAACCAUGAAAGGUGUGUCUGCUUAAAAACCUCUUCUCUCUGAAAUUCUAAAUUUCUUCUUUGAUGUAGCACACAUGAUUAAUCUAUAUUUAUUACAAUAAGAUCAUGGCAUGCUGAUAUUGUUUGCAAAUUACUGCAGCCAAAAACAAAAGGCCCACACGGCUUCUGCCCUGAGACGAUAGGAAAAUCAAUGCAUUUAGCCUUUGGGGAUUGCAAACUCGAUACCUGGGGAAGUAAAAUACUUUUUAAAUAAAAAUGAAGAACGCAACCCAUAGCAUAUAUUACACAUCAGUUCUCUUCGGUACGAGGCUACUGUACGUUACUCUAAACAAAACAAAACAACACAUUGACUUAUUCACUAAACUCCAUACUGUAGUGAAUGGAAAUAUAACUGGCAACAUUUAGGAUGGAAUAGCCAGUACAAUAUCUGUACAGAACUGAAGCUAUUUUUACCUAAACGCUUUACGUUUGCUGCAAUUCAGAACUUAAAUCUCAAAGGUGUGAUCGAGCGGUGUGCCAGAAAGUUACACCAGUUUGCCUUGCCAAAUUACCCUCCACAUUCAACAAGUCAGUCUUUUCCUGCACCUUUAAGUGAAUUUCAAUUAAUUCCUUCUUGAAUUACAAAAUAAAAAACAACUAUAUCUUUGCAUCGCUUUAAGUAAAGUUUAUAGUUUGUUAUUUUUUUUAUUUUUUUAAAACUUUUUUAUUUUACAAAAGGUACAGAUUUUAAAAGAAAUUUACACUUUUAUAAAUUAUACUUGUUACACCCUCCUUGGCUGUCAAUCAGGUAAGCGGUCCUGUUACUUCCUGGUUUGGUGGACUCAGUGGAAUUAAACUCAACAAGCAGCAAUAGCUCAGAGCACCUUCUUUGCAAAGACUUCUCAUUGACUCAUUGAGCUGCAUUGGGAAGUCUGUGAUUGGACAGUUACAGAAAGUCUGGGCGGGGUUAGAAGAGGAGUGCUUGUAAAGGCUGCAUACAAGAGAUUUUGUUUUUAGAUAAACCUCCAAUGACAAAAUGUAUUAUUAAAUACAUGCUGUGGCAGACCGCCUGGCACCCAGACUGGGUACCUCCACCAAUCGCACUUCCUAGUAUCACUGAGUACUAUAAGCACCACACCAGACACCAUAACCACUGUAGUCCCCUUAGCCACCGCAGCUUGGCUGGGGUCUUGCCGUCCCUUCCCACCCUGGACCAACAUCUAGAUCCACCUCCCAGUGAGAAGACCUCUCCUCCAAGAAAGUAUAGCAAAUAUAGUAAUCCAAAUAGCAGUAUAGUAAUCCCCCCCCCACACAUGAGCCAAGGCUUAAUGCUGGGAAGUAGUCUGUUUAUUCCAGGGCCACACACGGCCUUUUUAUGCAAUAGCCCAUGCAAGGGAUUUCUUACACAAGGAUAUCUAAGAAGCAAACAUAUAAUUCAAUUAUCUCUCAGGUACAAAAAAUAUACAAUUUAUAAAACCCCACAAAAGUUACAUCCCCUGAUAGUCCCGAUCUGGGUGAACAACAUAUCCAAAAAUCACCCAGAUCGGUUCUGGGGUUCAGGAUUUCCAUGGAAGUCAAUUAUUUGACCGACUGUGCACAUGGUCCUAUGCCCAAAAUAGUUCCAUGAAAUCAGUGCUAACGGUCAGUCUCUUUCGGGAGUCCAAAAGUGCAUAAAAUACCAAAUGGAAUCCAUAGUUAACCCGUGUAACUUGUUCACCUUGUUCGUGGGAAUGAUUCCACCGAACAGUGCCCUUCCAAGUUGUAUAGAAACGAAUACAGGCAAUGAUGGAAGUCCAGUGGUGUUUGGAAGUUUCAGUGUCCGAUUUCAGUUCCAUGAGCUCAACGCCCAAACACCUCUGGCUGCAUUCCCUGGAACAAGAUGGCCGCCACCUCGUGGUCAUUCAUACAAAAUGUGGCCACCCAGAUGAACAAUUAGAACACUGCGGUGUAACUCGAAUCCCUCCCAUGAUCCUUUGUGCCUGAGAGAUAAUUAUCUGAGAAGCACACAUAUAAUUAAAUUAUCUCUCAGGUACAAAAAACAAACAAUUUAUAAAACACCCCAAAAUACCUCCAAAACAUAUGAAAAUCACACAAAAGUUACACCCCCUUAUAGACCCGAUAUGGGUGCCCAACAUAUCCAAAAAUCACCAAGAUCGGUUCAGGGGUUCGGGAUUUCCAUGGAAGUCAAUUAUUUGACCGACCGUGCACAUGGUCCUAUCCCCAAAACAGUUCCAUGAAUCAGUGCUAACAGUUGGUCUUUUUUGGGAGUCCAAACGUACAUAAAAUACCGAACGGAAUCCAUAGUUAAGCCAUGUAACUUUUUCACCUUGUUCGUUGGAAUGAUUCCACCGAACACUGCCCUUCCAAGUUGUAUAGAACCGAACGCAGGAGAUGAUGGAACUCCAGCGGUGUUCGUGAGUGUCAGUGUCCGAUUUCAGUUCCAUGAGCUCGAUGACCAACAUCGCUCAAUGCGUUCACGGGAACAAGAUGGCCGCCACCUUGUGGUCGUUCAUACGAAAUGCGGCCACCCAGACGAACAAUUAGAACACUGCGGUGGAACUCGAUACGAGGUGUCAAUUGGGCUUAACAAGCACACGGGUGGUGUCUGAUUCGUGCGGUUGUUCAGUUCCCGAACAAUAUAAUCCAAAUCACACAGAGCUCAUAACAGAGCCUUUUAAAGUGUAUUUUACAAGGUAUCUUGCAGGGCCCAUAGUCCUGAGGCAGGACGCUGGCAACCAGACUCCUCCAGGAGCCCGUAGCGAGGGUAUGUUGACCACACAUGCCUGUUUUCAUUUGGGGUAUAUCUACUAAACAGUAAUUUUUAAAAAAAAAUUAUUUGGGCAGUGAAGUGUCCCUUUAACUGGGAAUUGUGGCAUAUUGACAAGGAAACAACAUGUUUUAGGUCCAAAUGGUUGAACUGGAAACAGCCAAGUAGCAGAAUGUUUACAUUUGAGCUAUUUUGACCCAACCGUUACAAUUCCAGUCCUCAUUAGACUGUAUAUCCUUUAGAAAAUUGCCAUUAGCAAUCUCUCACUUUUCAUUUAGCGCAGUGUUUCCUGGGAAUGACCGUCUAGCUCUGCAGGUGCCCUGCUAGCAGCCAGAUUAAUCUGUCUGCCUAAUUUACACAGUAACCUUGUCAGCAUAAAAAGGCUCCAAGGGUCUCAUUCUGUGUCUAGCUCAAACAGUUCCCUAGUUGGAAAAGUAGCUACUAGUUUACAAUAUGUUAUCCUUCUAUCUAUCUAUCGCUCUCUCUCUCUCUCUGUCUGUCUGUCUGUUCAUCUGCCUGUAUGUCUGUUCAUCUGCAUGUUUCUCUACCUAUCUGUCUGUCUGUUUGUCUGUGUGUACGUUCAUCCGUCUGUUUCUCUGUCCAUCUGUCUGUCUGCCUAGAAAUGUAUAACUAACUAUAUACUCAGUGGCCACUUUAAUAAGUUAAAGUAGAUCAAUUUAGCUAAACAUUAAACAGCUUUAUAAGAAGCGUGCUGAUAUGGGCUAAUGGUUUAGUUGCAACCAAAUAUUUAAUUACCGAAGAGCAAUAAACUAAGCAAUUUUGACAUUUUGACGAUCGUAUGAUAAUUGAUAUUAGACAUGGUGGUUCCAGCUUCUCCGAAACAGUUGAUCUCCUGGGAUUCUCAUGCAAUCCGUUCUCUAGAGUUUACAGUAAAUGGUAAGAGAAACAUAAACAUCCAGUGGAUGACAUUUCAUUCUGUGAAAACACCUUAAUGGAGACAUCACAGCAGAAUGGCCAGUCUCACACACGCUGGUAGAAAAUUCAUGAAUAUGCAGGUAACCUCUUUAGAACAGCAGUGUGCAGAAUGGCAUGCUGCAAGAUUAAACCUGGAUACAAGACAUAUAGGAUUUAACACAGGAUUCUGGGAAAUAAUGUAAUUGAGAGGUUCUGGAGACAUUGUUUGCAAUGUCAUGUUAUGAACGCCAAGCAUUGCUUACCCUUAAGGGGUACUUUGUCAGAAUACAACUAUUUGAUAUUUUUUUGGGGGGGCAGAAUUUUUUAAUUAUAAGGAACAUGUCCGGGUGUGCCUGUGAUAGGUGGGAGUUACACUCCUAUGCAGCUGAUGUUUUUUUAUAUCUGUCAUAAUCAAUGUGUCCUUCCCCAGGUAAUGAUAAACCAGGAGAGCAGCUGUGGAGACAGAUGUGUGCUGUUUCUGUCUCCUCGGCUCCUCUUCUGACAUAUUUCACUAAUGUCAUACAGGUUAAGGGACAUUAAACACACAAAAAUACAGUUUAACAUUUUAUAAGGCUGCUUAACCCCUUAAGGACCAAACUUCUGGAAUAAAAGGGAAUCAUGACAUGUCACACAUGUCAUGUGUCCUUAAGGGGUUAAAAUCACCUACCUCAGCAAACAAAUACGGGGAUUCAAUGGCCAUAUGUUCCUUAAUCUGUUUUUUUGUAUACAUUUUGGUCUUCACGGGCACACCACCCCUGAGAAAUGCGUGUUCCGGGAGUGCCCCUUAUCCCCCUUUUUUUUGCAUGCUACAGACAGACACACAGAUGUGGAUACACAAAGAAUGAAGGACAUUCAGACACUGACACACAUCUUACAUUGUUGUAUGCAGACUGAUUGACAUAAACUGUGGAGUUUAUAUCAUAUUUUUAAAAUGGUUAUUUUCACUUAAAAUUCACCAAUCUGUAUUUUGUUUAUAUUUUGGUCUCUACGGCAGCACCAUUGCUGAGAAAUGCAUGUUCUGGGGUGCCUCCAAUUCCCUUCUUUUCUUUUUUUUUUUUUAUACUGUAUUUCAUAAUGCCUACUGAUUUUGGGCAGAGAUGUCCUAGUCUUAAAACAUGAUUUAUCUACCUAUUGAUACCUGUAUACUUAGGGGGGUUUUUUAAUGCUUGUUUAGGUUUUGCAUCUUGCAGCGUUGUUUUUGUGUGAUAUCUUUUUUCAUCCAGUCAUUCAGUUCUCUUACUUACCCAUUUUCUGAUACAUCUUGUCAACUUCAGUGAAUACCUACGGAUCAGCCUGGAGAGAGACAGCUUGAAUCUCUUCAUCUGUUUGACUGAUGCGGAACUCUCUGUGCAACUGCAAAAGACUCAUUAACAUUAACAUAACAGUAAAUGAACCUUUCUAAUAGUGUGCUGGAUUUAUAAUAUUUAUAUUGCUUUCUUUCCUAUUGAGAGAGUGACGAGAGAGGCCAAUCAAGGAUGUAAAAAUGCAAGCAUGCCACUUAGGGCUCUUGUAUUUAAAGGGACACUCCAAGCACUGCAAGCACUGCAACCAAUACUAUUAACUGCAAAAAAAAAUUUCAACAGAUAAUGAGAAAAUUAACAUCCACAUUAUCACGUCUUAAUUGGAGGGGUGGGUGUAGUGUGCUUAAUAAACAGUAAUCAUUUUUAAAAGCAAUUCUACCACUUUUACACAUAGCUUACUAUAUAUAUUGCACUAUAUACAUAAUACUUGUUUGCAUUUGGAUCUCAGCAGUAAGUUCCAGCUCUGAGUGAUAAGAUUAGAGGAGAGAUGCAUUUAUUGCCACGUAUCUGUAGGCAGCAAUCCUAUGCUUAAAGGACCACUAUAGUACAGGAAAACAUACUUGUUUUCCUGGUACUAUAGUGCCCUGAGGGUGCCCCCCUGAGUUCCCCGUCCCGCCGGGCUCUAGGGGGUGGAAGGGGUUAAACUUACCUCUUUCUCCAGCGCCAGGCGGGGGACUCUCCUCCUCCUCUCCUCCUCCAUAGCGACGUCAUCGGCUGAAUGCGCAUUCGCGGCACAAGCCGCGCGCGCAUUCAGCCACUCCAUAGGAAAGCAUUCAUAAUGCUUUCCUAUGGACGCUGGCGUCUUCUCACUGUGAAAAUCACAGUGAGAAGCGCGGAAGCGCCUCUAGCGGCUGUCAAUGAGACAGCCACUAGAGGCUGGAUUAACCCAUUUAUAAACAUAGCAGUUUCUCUGAAACUGCUAUGUUUAUAGAAGAAAGGGUUAAUCCUAGCUGGACCUGGCACCCAGACCACUUCAUUAAGCUGAAGUGGUCUGGGUGCCUAUAUAGUGGUCCUUUAAGGUAAAAAGAUUAAGAAUUAAAUUAUUUCUUGUGUUAAACCUGCACACUAAGCUCUUAUAAACAGAUGUUUUGGCUUAUUUAUGGUAAACUAAUUAUUAUAACAUUUACUCAAUAUGUCCAGCUCUGCCAAAUUUGUUGGCACCAUGUUUAAUGGAUGAUAAUAUUAAUUAUAGGGUUAUUCUCUAAAGUCAGAAUUGUCAGUAAUUCAAAUUUGAGGCCAAAAUAAGCAAACUGAAUGGUGACUUGGAGAAUUGUUUUAGUUCAACUAUUUUGGCCUUAAAUUUGAAAUUCACAAGACUUCUCACUUAAAUGAAUAACUGUGCAAGUUUAUUUGUAGCCAGGAGUUGUUCAUACUGGUCUCUGUCUGUCAAUCGAUUUUAAAUGCACCAAUUGCUGUAGAAUUUUCUACCGCUGUAUAGAUAAUUGAUAAUAUUAAUUCUAAUAAAGUUUUGUCAUGUAAUAUUCCAAAAUGUUGUGUUGAGUUUAUAGAUGUGUUUGUAGCAGAUGUUUUUCACGCAAACUUGCCCACACUUGUUUAUUAUAAAUUAGUUUAUGGAUACAGUGUUUAAUGCAGUUUACAAACAAGGGAUUUCAAAUAGGAGUUGAUCAGUCACGUCAAGCGUGUGUGUGGGGGGAGGAGGGCAGAAGUUUUAUUUUUAGAUGAAAUUGUUACUGAACCUUAAGAAAUCCUAUUUUAUUCCAUACAAUAAAAUAGUAUCCCAUGCCUCACCUUUCUGUCAAUCCCUACAUUGGCUUCCUGUAAGAUGUAGGGCUCAAUUUAAAAUUCUGGUUCUUGCUUUCAAAUCUCUACAUAAUGCUGCUCCCACCUAUCUGUACUCCCUAAUACACAAGUAUGUCCCGUCUAGGCCCUUACGCUCUGCUGAAGACUUACGUCUAUCUUCUGUCCAUACUCCCACUUCUGAUGCUCGCGUUCAAGGUUUCUCGAGGGCUGCACUGUUCCUGUGGAACUCACUUCCCUCCUCCAUUAGAUGCUCACCCAGUUUCCACUCCUUCAAAAAAUCGUUAAAAACCCACUUCUUCAUAAAAGCGUAUCAAUUAAACUGUUAAUAGCUCCUGACUGAUUCCUCUUCUGCAACUGUCACUAGUCUAAUACUAUCCUUGCCUUUUGUGUCACUCUUGACGUUGGCAGGCGGGCAUUCCCUCCGAUGGCCAUUUGAGCAGCUAAAUUACCUCCAUUUGUCUAGAUAUACAUGGGGAUUAAGGAGAGAGCGCAGGUAACUUUUUCUUUUCUUUGGUUUUUACUAUAUAUUGGGGCUGAUGUGCACUGUAGUCAUUGCUGCCGGCCCAGUAGUGAUGGGAGUGAGCACAGGACUUAUCUUUUUGUAUUUACAUUUACUUUGUAUCACACAGCCUUGUUACAAUGCUGCCGCCCAUCCCAUGUGUUCCCUAUUAAGGGUUAAUAAGUAUAUAGGGGUGUAUAUAAAAAAUACCCCUCUGUCUCAUUAGAGAUAUCUUUGCCAGAAACUCAAGGAAGCAGGCUAAAGGGUCAGUGUAGGACCCGCUUAGGGGGGUCUACCUUGACGUUGGCAGGCGGGCAUUCCCUCCGAUGGCCAUUGGAGCAGCUGAAUGACCUCCAUUUGUCUAGAUAUACAUAGGGAUUAAGGAGAGAGCGCAGGUAACUUUUUCUUUUCUUUGGUUUUUACCUGUGUCUUAGGUUUGACUUCAAAGUCAGUAGUGUCAAUCAACCCAACACUUAAAUCUGAUUAAAUCAGCAAAGUAAAGAGAUAGAGAUGUAAAUAAACCACUACAAAAACGUAAAGGGAAACUAUAGUGUCAGGAAAACAAACUCAUUUUCUUGGCACUCUGUCUACCCCUCCGUCAAGCUCCCCCACCCCGUGAUCCCUUCUGUCACUUACCUGGGUCCAGCACCAAUGUCUUCUCGGCUGGGGAGACCUAAUGCACGCCAAUGCUAGAAUUAGGAUUUCCCCAUAGGGGGGUGUCGCUGGAUGUCCCCAUGUACAGUGUGAGGACGUCCAGUAUCAGUUAGGCAACCAAAAGUUGCCUAACAGCCGGGAAAUCCCUUAAGUAGCUGUCUGGUAGACAGUCACUAGAGGUGGAACUAACCCUAGCAGGUCAUUAUUGCAAUUUCUUAAAAGCUGAAAUAAUUACCUGCUCAGUGUUAAGGGACCUGGGACAAUGCACCCAGACCACUUCAAUGAGCUGAAGUGGUCUGGGUGCCUUCAGUGUCCCUUUAAGGGAAAGCAGUAACAUUGUAGCGAUCCCUGUCCUGUUCUACAAAACUGGAGAGAUACAUGUUCUGAAAAUUGGAGAACUGUGAUUAAAUACUCCUUCAUAAAAUAUCAUUCAGUCACAUAGACUUCAAUCUGGGUUAAUAAAGAUUUUCAUCAAACUAAGUCUGAUGCGUAGAGGCAUCAUACUAAUGAGUAACAGUUAGUGAUUUUUUAAAUUCCUUUUUAGAAAAAAAAUUAGUUUUACUCCCCUCCCCUCCUAAUAGACAGAUCAAUCGAUAGAUCAUCAAUGUCUUAGAGGUUUGAAUACCCUAAUAUAUCCUCUAAUAAACUUACACCGCUGUAUAUUUGCUGCGUGUGAAUAUCAGUAUAUUCUGCAGUGUAUGGAACGCAUAUUUUUAUAUUCAACAGGCAUUCUGCCAGCCUAGUAUUUUACACCUUACGGAGAGCUUCAUUAAAACCUGUAAAACCAAGGACAUUUACUUCCGAAGCCUGCAUAGUCUCCUUCUCGAUCCUCUUAUUUCUGGGAAUCACUGACCAGAUUAUCGUAAAAUGAUUUAUAGCCACUUUCACUCUUUUUGGCGGGGUUCCAAUGUAUCAAAAAAAAAAACUCAGUCACCCAGACUGGGCUGAUUAAAUCGUCAGUGAGAUCGAAACUUUCUAAUCACUCUUCUUGAGUCUCCAUUUCCCUAUAAGACGUAAAAGUUAAUAAAACAAUAUAUCUUAGUGUUCUGCGUGUCAAACAAGACAGCCUACUCAGUGUUAUGAAACGGGGAUAAAGUGUUUGUAAUACUCGUGAUCUGUGCAACAAUAUCGCUACAGAAAAAAAUAAUGAGUAGUUAGUGAAUGUGGAUACAGGGGGAAAUUGCAACCAGAGUACUACUUUCUGUGUCAGAGUGCGUUUUUUACUAUGUCACACUUUGUAUCUCUGACUAAUGGAAUUGUGAUUUAAAAAAAAAAAAAACUGGAAUUCUAGCAAAUGCGCUGCUGACCUUAUGGAUGGUUUGAUGAUAACAUAAUCCUUUAAGCUAGUAACAGUUGUCAUGGCAAUAAGUCUACCUUGGCUCCGUAAUGCUUUGUGAGUAGUUUAUACGCCUAUGACUCUCUUUUUUUUUUUUUUCCCUUUAUGUCUCUGAAAGAUUUUUUUUUCUUACAAAUGAAAAAGAAAAAUAUGACGGAGUGAAAAGGCAGUGAAAUGAACAGCAUACUCUAAAAGUCUUCAGGGUCAACGGCACUGAGUAUGUAAUGUAUCUCCGAGAUUACUCUAACAGCCUAGUGUGAGACUGUAUAGGUUAGCAUUAUAGUAAGCAGACAGUAUAUUCCAGACAUGUCACUUAAAACAAAACUGUCACAUGCCAGAUUUUUUAUAGUAGUAUUCUGGGGGUUUUUUUCUUCAAGUUUUUAAAAAGAAAAUUUUAGUUCUGAAGCUUUUAUAUUUAUUAAUUAAAGGGACACUGCAGUUUGCUUAAAAGUUUAUGUGUGUCCUCUUUUUUUUAUUUUAUAAAAAGUGCAGCUUUCAAUAGAAAUUGACACUUUUUAUGAAUUAUACCAGUUACAUCCCCCUGGCUUUCAAGCAGACAAACUGACCUGUUACUUCCUGGUUGUUUAACUCAGUGGAGCUCAAGUUCAAGAGGCACGAAUUACCCAGAGCACCUGCUUUGCAAAGACUUCUCAUUGAGCUGCAUUGGGAAGUCUGUGAUUGGACAGUCACAGAAAGUCUGGGCGGGGUUAGAAGGUGAGGGGUUUGUAAAUGCUGACAAAUUGCAGACAAACGAUCUACAGCUUUUGCAAGCUGUUUUUAAGAUAUAACCCCACAUGAAAAAAAUGCAUAAUGAAAUGCAUGGAAGUUUCCAUUUAAGGUAUAUCUACCAAACAAUAUAUUUAUUUUAUAUUUGGGUACCAGAUUGUCCCUUUAACAUGGUAUGCCUGGACUGAUGCAGGCCAAUGUUUAUUAAACUAACUGUCACAAUGCUGUACAUGCAUGCACAGGCACACUGAGGGCACAAUGGAAGCGAUGCCCGCAUGCACAUUUACCUAUACAGCAUUUUUCUGUAGAUGUUUAAACACAUGAAUGCAUGGGGGACAUUAAUGGCGCCUACAACACAGAAAUGCUGCUGACCAGGGACAUAUUAGCCGCGAGGCAAACAAGGCAUUUGCCCUGGGCAGCAUUUUCCAGGGGGCGGCCAAAAAAGCCGCCCCCAAAUGCCCAGGGCAAAUGUCUUGUUAGCCUUGCGGCUAACUGACAACCCAGGCGGCUCUGCUCAGCUCCCUCGCGCACCGCAGAGUAAUGCCGGGACGACAUAUUCCGGCUCCCGGCAUCACUUUGCGGCGCGUGAGGGAGCUGAGUAGACCGCUCAGGGGAAAGUGCUUCCUCGCCAGCGCCACCCGCCCAGCAGCCACUGGACUCCAGGGAAAGGGAGAAACCCCCCCUGCAUUCCAAAGGUAAGGAGGCUGGGGGAGUUAAAUAAAAAUAAAAAAAAAGUGAGUGUGUUAAUGUCAGUGUGUGUGUCUGUUAGUGUGUGUGUCUGUGUGUGUGUCAGUGAGUGUAUGUGUGUGUCUGUUAUGCCUCGUUUCCACUGAGCGGAUCGGUUCGGGUCGGUACAGUUUGGAAGGUUUAGAAUGGUCCAGCCCAUUCUGGUGAGCAUUUCCACUGCAAGCCAGACCUUCAGGGGCCAUACAGGGUUUAGAAAAAAGGCUCUUCCUGUCCACCAAUCAAUGGAUUGUAUAGUAGCUCCGUCCUAACUGAACCGUUCCAUUUCCUAUGGCCCUACAUCUGAAGCAGGACCCUGAAUGGAUCGGUACGGUUAGCUUAUAUGGACCACUUUCAUAAUGGAAACACCCAAAAUAGCGAACCGAACCGAACCAAAGCGAUCCACUCAGUGUGUCUGUCUGUUAGUGUGUGUGAGUGUGUGUGUCUGUUAGUGAGUGUGUGUGUGUGUGUCUGUUAGUGAGUGAGUGUGUGUCUGUGUGUGUCUGUUAGUGAGUGUGUUUGUCUGUUAGUGUGUGUGUGAGUGUGUGUUUGUAGUGAGUGUGUGUGUGUUUGUCUGUUAGUGAGUGUAAGUGAGUGUAAGUGUGUUUGUCUGUUAGUGUGUGUGUGUCUGUUAGUGUGUGUGUGUCUGUUAGUGUGUGUGUGUCUGUCUGUUAGUGUGUGUAUGUCUGUUAGCUAGUGUCUGCAAAUCUGUCAGUGAAUGUGUGUGUAUUUAGAAGGCGGGGCAGGGGGGAAUGGUUGGGUGGGGGUGGCACGGGGGUGGGGGUGCGCCUGAGUUUUGUCCUGCCUAGGGCAGCACAAAAUCAGGAAACACCACUGCUCCUGACUGUGUUUCUUUUUCUUUUUUUUAACUUACCUCUGCUAUAUUCAGUAGUGUUAACUGGUAUGAGGGAACUGGUAUCUGUCACCUCCAGUGAGGUUUUAAAGGUUAAUAUUUAUACACCUAUAAUUAUAGGUUUACACGGGAAUCUAGUCCCUACAUUUGGGUGAGUGACGAGCCACUAAUAAAAUAUAAGUCUACUAAAUGCUAAAGUAAUUUCGUUAUACGCUCACACUGGGCUUUACAGGAACUCUUUCUGUGAUGUCUCCAGAAUAAACAUUCCAGAAUAAAAAACACAGAACAUUGAAACCGGAGUCCAAUAUGCUACUGUUCUAUUGGACCUGGGUCUAGGGAUGGUAGGUGACUGCCUCAAUAUUGCAGAUAUUGCGUAUUAUUGUUGCUAGAAUACUGCGGAAUCUAUUUAAGUAAUCUAUAUUUCAUCCUUUUGAAAAUCUAUGUUACUUGCGAAUCAGCCAGCAUCGGUAAGAGUUUUUAUCACCUAUUUACAUUCUUACGUCUAUUGUAUCGUCCUUUUAUAGACGUAAGAUCCCACAUUCUGUUCCGUGAGACAAGCUUGCCAAAUAUAGGAAUAUUUUUACUUGUGCAGUCCCCAUAAAAUCCUCACUGUCGCAGCUUUGGUAUUUUGUUUAAAUGUUCUAUUUUUUUAAUUGAUGAACUGGAUUAUUGUGUUCCUGUCAUCUCCAGGCUUUGGUUCAUAGCUUUACUUGGGAGUAUGAGAAGUUUCAAAUGAAAAUGUAAAACGUUUAGAGUGUUCUUUAACCCUGUAAAUGCCAGACACCCCCUCGUAUCUUUCCUAUCCAGAGGAAAUUGAUGCAUAUGUUGCAAUUGUAGCAAUUGCACCAAUCAAAAGCAGUAUUCACAACAAUUGGCAAUCGCCCCAUAAAAUACUCUUCAUAUCAAAGCAUUAGACUAACAUAUGAAAGUUCUGGCUUGACUACCAAGAGGGUAUUCAUAAAGUAUUUCAUAAAAGUGCAGUUUUCUCUUGAAAUUAUUACUAUUCUGAAUUGAAAACAUGCAGUAACCCCUAAAACACGAGAGUUGAAGUGUCUGAAAUAUCUCUAUUUCUAGGAGGAACAGUCUCGCUAGCCCUCUUCUCAAUCUCAAUGAGUAGUUAGUGAAUGGGGAUACAGGGGGAAAGUGCAACCAGAGUGCUACUUUCUGUGUCAGAGUGCGUUUCGUACUAUGUCACACUUUGCUAUGAUCCAUACUUUGGGUGAAUAUUAGCUCACUUUGCAACUUUUAAUAUUAUAUUAUUAACUACAAUACAUAUGCUUAGAGAUUAGUAUGUGGCAAUUAACUACUUUGGUUUUGUUCUUAAUUACUUUUUCAACUUGCCUUUCUAGGCUGUAUUUGGAAUUGUGAAGAGUUCGUGGGGGCAUUCCAAAUUGUAGACAAAAGUAGCAUGUGUCGGACCGCCUGGCACUCCGACUGGGUGCCUCCGCCAAUCGCUGCUUCGUAGUGCUUAACGAGUACCACAAGCACAGCACCAGACACCAUCAGCACCAUAGUCCCCACUUCCAGUGUUACAGCUUGGCUGGGGUCUCGCCCUCCUCCAACCACCCUGGACCCAAGACGAGGAUCCAGCUUACAGUGGGCAGUCCUCUCCUACUCCAGAGAGAGUAGCAGGCUGCUUUUACAAGAGCAAGUUAUUUUAACGCAGAGGAGUACAGCGAUAUAGCAAUCCCCAGGGUAGAUACAGCCGUUUCCCCCACACAUGAGACGAGGCUCUAUGUUGAGGGUAAUCAGGUAGCCACAACUGGCCUUUUAUGCAAGUCCCCAUGCAAGGGGCACUCCCCCCUGGACCUAAGAGUAAACCACAUUAGAAACAAAUACACAAUCGCAUUGGCUCUCACUUCCAUGACACUCCCACACAUUAUAUAUUAAUCCCUCCUCUGUACCUGGGAGAUAAUUGAGUCAAGCACUGAACUAAACUCAAUUAUCUCCAGACGCAAAACACAUAAAUAUAAACCCUGCAAAAUACCUUACAAAAUACAUAAAACCCCACAAAACAUCCCCUGAUGGCCCCAAUCUGGGUGAACAACAUACCCCAAAACCACCCAGAUCAGUGGUCCCAUGCCCAAAACAGUUCCAUAGAAUCGCGGCUCUGUGCUGCUGGGGGACCGACCGGGAACUGCAAAAUUUUCAUGCUGGAAAUAGUUCAUGGGCAUUCGUGGCUAAGUCCCCCUGAAGUCUAUUUGCGGUUUUGGUCCAUGUGAAUGGCCGCUAGUGAGCUAGCAUUCGGUUCUGUUUACGUAGGGGAACCAGGGGGAAUAAAAUAUGGGUCUUUACAGUCGCUGACCUGGCCCAUAGUCUUUUGACAAGCAGGCCCCUCCAAGCACCCGUGACCACAUAGCAGAACUAUAAAAACUCUCCUUGCUAAUGUGCUUUUCCAAUCUGUUAUUUUAGCCUGACGUUUGAAAUGUCCAAUGCCUGUGAUUCCUAAUUUAAUGUGUAAACCCCUGUGACAUUCAUUUGAAUUGAAACAUUUAGCAUUUAAUUUUGUGUCAGUUGUUUUUAUAAACUUUUAUAAUCUGAAAUCACAUAAUCGCUUAUUAUAGAUGGUGGAAUCAAUACCAGCCAGUAUCAUUGUAUCACUAUUGUAUUGCAGGCACAAAGGACUCAUGGGUCCAUUUAUAUAGGUAAGUACAGACGGUAUUCUACUCAAGGAUCUGUUCAUGUAGGUAGGUACAGACUCAAGGACCUGUUCAUGUAGGUAAGUACAGACGUAUUCUACUCAAGGACCUGUUCAUGUAGGUAAGUACAGACGGUAUUCUGUACUGCGAUAAAAUUCUGGAAAUUGUAAACUGGGUCAUUGUAAAUGGUAUUUUUUGCCACUCCAUAGAAUGUUUUCUAUUUUCUGCACAGACAUUACAUGCCUGCUGCUUUAUUACGUGGUUUUAUUAAUUCAGUUGACACAUUAGAAAAUAUACCCCCAUCAAAUAUAUCUUUAUAUGAGCAGAUUGCUCAUAUUAUUUUUACGUGAUUAAAUAUAAAAAAUGUUUAUUUAUGCAGCAAUUUCUGCGCUGUAACCUUGAACUAACUAUCAUAAUGCCAGGAGUGUUAAAUCUCUCUUUUUCCUUUAUUUUUUCCUUGCUGCACUCCAGCAGUUAUAUUUGGCAAAACUUUCGUAUUGGACUGUCAUGCAUGUUUGCUGAUUUAUGGCCCCGCUCACAAGCUGUCAUAAACGCUGAUGUAUGAUACUUUACAAAAAGAGAAGUCACAUAGAGGUUGCAUUACAUUUCACACAUCAGUCUUAGUCUGCACCUAUACAUCUUUUUCAGUGAGCAACAUUUAGAACACCUGAACACAUCGUCUGGAGUCAAGGUACAUUGAAACAACUGAUUCCAGAAUAAACCCAUCAACCUUUGCAGCCCAACAUCCAGGUUUCUGUAACUGAUAUAUUGAAAAUUCUUUAUUUUAUAUAGAGUUGCUUGUGUGCUGCAGCAAAACACUAGACUAGGUCAGACUGGAAACGUUUAGCAAAGGGGGCAAACACAGCCAUAUUUCAGACUAAUAUAACAGCCUAAGGGAAAACUCCAAGUACCAUAACCACUAAAACAUAAUGUAGUGGUUAUGUUCCCAGAAAGGAUAGCAAAACGCAGGCAAAAAUAGAUGCCAAACUGUGACUAUAUCUGAAUUGGAGGAUUUUUAUUUUUACCUAAAUGUUUCUAUUCUGAUAUCAGUUCCCAACAUUUUGGAGUUAAAGGGACGCUGUAGUCACCAAAACAACUUUGGCAGUUUUGGUGUAUAGCUCAUGCACCUUCAGUCUUGCAGCUCAAUUAUUUGCCAUUUAGGAGUUAAAUCACUUUGUUUAUGCAGCCUUAGUCAUGCCUCCCUGCACAUGGCUUGCACAGCCGUUCUAAACACUUCCUGUAAAGAGCCAUGUAAUGUUUACACUUCCUUUAUUGCAAAUUCUGUUUAAUUUGGCAUUUCUUAUCUCCUGCUCUGUUAAUAGCUUGCUAGACCCUGCCUGGGUCUCAUAUAUGUAAUUAAAGUUCAAUUUACAGAGCAGGAGAUACAAUCUUUCAAAGUAAGUUACAUCUGCUUGAACAGAAACCACUUUUUUUUCAUGCAGACUGUGUAAGUCACAUCCAGGGGAGGCAUGAGCAAUGCACACAAACUGCUUCAUUAAGCUAAAGAUGUUUUGGUAACUAUAGUGUCCCUUUAAUGAAAAAAACACUCUGGUCUUUAAAUGCAAAGAGUGUGCGGAAUAACAUAGCAUUCCGUGGGCUCACGUGAGACAGCAUAACCCUGUUUGAUUGAUAGUCUGGAUGCUGUAGUUACUCCUCCAUUAUAGAUUUAAAGUAGCCCUGCAUAACUAUGUAUUCCCAGAGGUUACAACAAGAACAUGUAUCUUUCCGCCCAUGGCAACUACGGUUAUAUGUCAUUUAAUGGAAAACAUACAGCCCAUGUUGAUGUCAACCUUGCAUUGAUAACAAAGUUCUUGCAACGCGUUUUCUAAUGGCAAAGCAAAAGAAGGAUCUUUCUUCUCCGUGUAUUUCUUUAGAAUGGUACAGAUACGUAUAUAUUAAACCUAAAUAACACUUAUUUAGAUUCAGCAGCUGUACCCAAAUGUUGAGGGUUACUGGCAAUACACUAAUGGAGUUUCCCCCUCUUCAUUUAACAUUUACAUGUAAGUUAUGUUCAUACAAACGCAGCCAUUAGUUGACACUGGUGCAGAGAUGAAAUUCAGAUCUAAUCAGCUGAUUAUCAUAUAUGCCGGUAAAACAAUAAUUACCAUGUAUAAAUAAAUGUGCAGAUAAUUGAAAUGUAUGGAAGGUGUAUAUGGGAACCCCACAUGGCUUUCACAAAUCAAGAAUCAGUGGGAAUAGGCCGCAGCCACGAAGCAGCUCAUUUACAGGGUUACUCAUAAAAGUAAGAAUUGCUGGGAAUUCAAAGUUGAUUAAAAGUGGAUUUCAAAUUUGAAGCCAAAAUAGUCAAAUUCAAGAAAUUCUCCAAGUCAGCUUUUAAAAGCCCUGUGUAGUGGUUAAGAUGGUAGAUGUAUCCCUGUGCUGUGUCCCCCAUUUUACAAUGGCUUGCCCUCUUACCUGGUCCUACCAGGUGCUGGGUCUCCUCUGUAGGCAGGGUUAGGCAGACUAAACCUGCUGCUCCUUCAUUGGCCUUCAUCAUCUAACCGCCCUCAACCUAUCAAUGAGUGUCUGCACGUAACAAUAUGCACAGAACUGGCAUCAGCUACUCUGGAACUCUUGUUCUGGGGAGGGACUGAUGGCACCAAAUUAUGCUGCCAGAAUUGAGAUCAAAGUGGUUAUGGUGCUUUUAGUAACCCUUUCAGGCCUCAAUUUAAUAAGCUUUCUAAAUGAUUCAAUUCUGCUAGAAGAAAAUUCCAAAUGGUUUAUGUACAAAAAUUCCCCUAGACUUUAAUGGUGACUUCUGUAGAUCAAUAAUUUGGAAACAGAUAUAAAUCAUUUGGAAAGCUUAUUAAAUCGAGGCCUAUAAAUUGGAAACUCCAUUUGAAUUCCUGACUUUUCUUACUUUAGUAAAUAACCCUGUUAUUAGUCUUGUUAUCGGGUGAGAUAGCUCAGUGUUUAGGGCUGCAGGAAAUCUUUAGAUGGGGGAAAUGAAUGGUAUAAUAUAGUUCUUUCUCUGUUCCCUCCAUUCUAAUGUUUAUUUUGGUAAAUCUUGGUGCUUUUUGUGUCAUGUUUGUUCUUUUUCUGAAUAUUAAUACUUUGUCGAUCCAAUUCUAAACGAUGCUAUGAUUGACUGUAGAAUGUAAGUGCUUUAUGGGAAGAAUUAUAAAUGGAACACAAGCAAAUAAGACGCUAGGAUAAAAAUAUACCGAUGCAACAAUCGUUUCUGCUGGUUGGAGAGUAAGAGCAGAAUUCGCAUUCUGUAGGGUUUAUCAAAAUUAGAUGCAAAGUAUUGUUUACUCAACGGUCUUGUUCUGUUCAUGGAUAAUUAAUUAGUCCCUGUAAAUGGCACGGGCCUCGCAUCAUCAUAUUGUCAGAACAGAUCACAAAAUCUGGGCUAAAUAUUUAUAGCACAUGGAGGAACACUUUGUAUUAAUGAAAGUUCACUGAGCUCCAAAAACAAUCCAGAAAUAGUCACUGACACGGCUGGAUCAUUGAUGCAAGAGCCUGGUCAUCCAAUUUUCUUGAUUGUAGACCCAGGAUGGUUGGAGGCUUGGUACAGGGUGAAAACAUAAAAGGAUUGCUCGGUGUUAUGUGGAGUACUAAAUCAGUUUUAUAUGUUUAGAUUUACUGCCAAUUUCAGGCCAUACUGAAUAGAAGAAUAGGGGCUCUUUGCCAUUCUUUAUGUUCUUGGACCCAUUUUAGACAAUGAUUGUCCCAGAAGAAGAAUGGUCAAAGUCAUGUUUUAGUCAUGUAGGUUCUUGCCAGUAAGUCGAUCAGUAUGUGAUUUUAACUUUUACUCUGCAGAAACAAGGGAAUGCUUUUCAAUAAAAGAACGAUAAGACCGAAUGAGAACACUUUAAUAGUAGGAGUUGUGACUGAAACUGUGUCUUCAUCAGGGCUGAUCCAGAGCCUAAUGUUGGGUGUAUACAUUAUAUAAACACUCUCCAGCAAUUCAUAUUAUUGUCAUGGGGCUCGAUAUAAUAUAUAUACAUUGUUUAUGAGUGCCACAGUAAUAAGACUGAUUGACUGUUGGAAUUUAGGUAUAGUUUUUACAAUAUUUUGAGCAUGUGGUAUUAAUAAUGAUUCAUAGAAAAUGUAUUGUACAACACAUAAUCUUUGUAUACAGCACAUAUUUAAAUCCUUUAUGUAAAACAUAUAAUCUGUCUCUAGAGCAAUGUAUGACUGUGCCAUGUAUGUAAAAUAUAUAUGUGUAUAUUUGUCAGCGUUAUGUAUGUAAAGCAUGUGUAUAAUAUAUGUCUAUGCUGUGUAUAUAAAGUACAUAUAUGUCUUGGGUACUAUCUACAUCUUUUUUUACAUAUGUAAACACUGUGUACAUUACGUAUGUUAGGUUACUUUCACAGUUUGUAUAUGUAUGUAAAACAUGUGAAUGUUGGGUGUGUAGUAUGCCUGCUUGUUAUAAUGCAUAGAAAGUGUAAUGUGAAUUUAAAGUGUGGUGAAUUUGAUUCUUGUGGUAAGUUGUUUAACUGCUCAGACAGCAAACUUGCUUUUUAGCUGCAGUCGGAGGAGGCUGAUGGGGUUAAAUGAGAUUCCUCUCCGGUUCUAUAGGGCAGCAAGUCCGCAGGGGCAGUACCAGGAACUUGUGGCUCACUUGAGUCCAGAGAUCUAGUACACUAAGUGCUAUAGAGGAGGGGUGGAUUUGCAGCGUUUUAUUUAGAAAGGCAGGUUUGUUUGGAGACUAAAGAGCAAGAAGUUAAUUCAAAGAAAAGGCAGGUGUCUAAGGGUAAGCACUUGCCCUGGUGCUCGCCCCCCGAAUCGCCCCUUGUCUUAAUGCAAAGCUUUUCUGGGAACAUUUUAACUGAUUUCAUGACCUAUUUCCAGCCAUGUAUGUAAAUGAAUAUAUAAAUUAGAAAAUGAUUGACACAUAGACAUAUCUGAACACAUGCAUUGCAGACUGAGAUACUUUUACCUUUGUAAAGCUCUGUUAUGCACCAAAACGUUGGCGCUCCUAGAAAGAGGAACGUUAUUAGAUUAUGGUAGAAAAGAUGGACAGAUGGAUUUGGAUUUUAAAUAGAGACUGACACACCUAGAGAAGUACACUUGGCAAGUAUACAGCAUGGCUGAACGGGACCUAAAUUGGAACAUUCCUGACAAACUUUAACCAUCUGGGGUUUUGGUCGGUAGUUUGUGACUUUAAUGAUUUUCUAUUAGUGCUAUUGUUCUACUAUCAAUUGUCUUGUGUAGGGGGUUGGGAUUAAAUUAAAGUACUGUAAUAGAAAACAUCAACGAUCCUAAAUGAGAACCAAUACCUGAGGGCAUUGGAAAAUAGAUUGCCGUUUAUUUUAAUACAAUAUUUCUCUCCACUUCUUAAUUAUAUAGCGUAUUACUCUAUCUAGGGCACAUUGCUUGAGUACAAGAGAUGAUAGAGUAACUGAAAAUAACGAUAGGCAUUUAUUAUUGAGAUAUCAAUUUAUUAAUAAAGAGCAGAACAUUUCUCAGCACUGUGGGAAAUGGUUAUUAUUAUUGUUAUUAUUAUUAUACAUUAUUUGUGGAGCACAAACACAUUACUCAGAGCUGAAAGAGGGCACAGUUGGUACAAGUCACGAUACAACAAACAAGUACAGGAGGAGUUGAGGCUUUAUUCCAGUGGGAACUUACAAUCUAGAUUGACGGGGAGGUGAGAAACAGAAGUUCGGGACUGCAAAGGUGAGAAUGAUGUCAACACAGAGUGAUAUGAGGGCAUCUAGUGGGUAAGUACAAUAUGUUAGAUUGACUGUUGGGCUUCCCAAAACAAGGAUGUUUUCAGCGAGCCAUUAGAGGAAGGUAGAUUUGGGGAAAGUCUGACAGCGCAGGGAAGUGCGUUCCAGUCCAUUGGUGACGCAUGAAAGACGUCCUGCAGUCUAGCAUGGGAAGAGGUGAUAAUAGACGGUGCAAGGAGCAAGUCAUUGUUAGAUCUUACGGGGACGAUAGUAAAGGCUUUGUAGGUCAUGGUGAGAAUUUUGAAUUUCAGAAUUAAAUUAGUUGAGAAUUACAUCAUAUAUUUACCAAAUGUGCUCAGUUGAUCUAGAAAACAUUUGAGCCCAGGGCUAAUUUUAUGAACUUUUAUCAUGUUUAUAACAUUUUCUUCUAUCUAAAGAAAGCUGCUUUGUUCAAUAAUUCUAGUGCUUUAGGUAUGGAGUUCACUAGUUAAAACAAGGUUGGAUUAAGUCUGAACAGGGUGAUUUAUUGAAUGUACAUGAAUAUAUAGUAGGUUUUGGCACACUGUCACCAGAUAAUCUGCUCUUUGCAGCUGAACUUGGUAGGGCCAUUGAGUCAUUCUACUACUGAGAGUGAGCUGAUUUUUUUUUUUUUUUUUUUUACAAUUUCAGAAGCAAUUGACUUUUAAUGCAUCAAGGUUCCAUAGAACGCCAGGAAGCUCGAGAACAAGGCUGGGCUGAAUUUAACCCAUUUUGAGAAAAAAUAAACCAUAAAUAAAUGAUUAUAUUUAAAGGGGAACUGUCAUGGAAAAAAAAACUUUGUUCUAUUGUAGAGGAUAUUGUAGUUUAAUUUAAUUUUGUUUUUCCUGAUUCUGGUUAGUCCUUCUCUGUCCAAUGUGAGCUGCCGUGUUCCCUGACUAUCCUGCUUUGGUGCGGUCUAAUAUACCUGGUUUACAAGGGGGGAGGGGGCCCUGGCUUCUUCUUACUCAUAAGAUAAUUUUUUACCCUCUUCACUACUGAACACUUUUAUUUAAAUCAAGGAAUGCAUAGAUAGCAAAUAAACAGAUAGCAUGGAUUGUAUAUAACACAAUUUUUAUUUUUCAUUUAUAUAUUUAGCUUUAGAUUGCAUGCAGAUUCCUUUAACUUAAUAUUUCACAUGUUAUGUUAAUAUUUCAUGUCAGUAUAAAAAAGGAAAAAUGCAUUUUUCUCACAUUCAUACAGUAGGUGUGACAAAAAGACAUAAAUAAAAAAUGUCAAAUACCUUGCUUAUAAGUAAGGACCCUGAAGGCAUUACUAGCAGUACAGCUUACCGUACUUACUAAUUACUUUCCAACCCCCAAAAAGUCUUCAUUGAGCAUAAUGUCCACGUACAGUACAUACAGUUCAAUUAUAUAUUUCUAAAAUAAAGGUAUUUAAAACUGCUAUAGCAAUCUUUAUCAAUCUCUAGACAGCUAACAUAAUUCUGGCAGUGAAAUAGCAGAUUUCAUUUACUCUUCUACCUCCCUGACAUUAGGAAUGAAAUCACCCAAUGAAACUUAUUGUACUGUUUGAAAGCACAGAGACAAGCUUCCCUUCCAUCACCUUUACAGAUAUUCUAUCAGUGAGUAGUGACUUUUGGCAGAGAAAUGUGUUCCUUUGCUGACUUGUAAUAAUACUAAUAAAUAAGGGUCAGUGAGGCUUUACGGUCUAAAUUUCAUUUUGAAAAAUACAUGAAAAUAGAAAUUUUUCUGCUUGAUUUGGAGGAAUUUACAAAAUCCCAAUAGCCUUUCAACUAACAGAUUAUGGUCACUACAAUAGAGAUUAAAAUAUGAUACAACAUAUCAAAACAAAUGUUUAUGAUUGUUCUCCUGUUAGGUAGUGUUGCCAUAUAUUUGAUACAAGCAUUCCUUAAAACCAAGUCUAAUUCUGUUUAUUUGUGCCAUAAAUAACAUUUCCCCUACAUAGUAACAAACUAAACACACAAAACUUACACGAGAGACAAAACAAACAAACACACAAACACUGGUUACAUAUAUCAAUGGUGCCAAAUUUGUUCAAUUAUCAUUUAUUCACUGUAAAUAACAUCAGUUUGGUCACGUAUAUAGUGCAUUGUUAUUAGCUAAAUCAUUUUUAAGUCUCCUAAUUUUGAUUAAUGUUGCAACUGUUUAAAAAAAAAAAAAAAGCUUCUAAAAGGCUAUUAAUUCCAAAAUGAUGGCUGAGGUAGUUGGGAGUUGAAUCACAACAGCAGCUGGAAAGCCUUAGAAUGUUUGAACCUUUCAUUUGCCAAUACUGAGCUCCAUUUUCAGGCGGAAAGUCUUUACAUUUGCAUGUUUUGUUAAUUUAUGGUUUAACCUUGUAUAUAAAAUAAUAUUACUUUUACAAUCCUCUUUUUAUAUGUGAAUACGGUCCAUAGGAAAAUUAGUGGAGCACCGCAUAUUGAACUUCGCUCCCUCCAAUCUCAGUUUGAGUGACAGCUUUGAUAUCAUUGCACAGCAGGGGUCUUAUUACAUCGGUCCUUUAAAUUAUCCUCAAAUAAAACUGCUCUCACCGGCGUGCUCUCAGUACUGUGUUCUCUGUAUUGUUUAUGGAUGUAUUAACAUUGCUGAAUUAGGUACUCCAUAAAAAGGACAGGACAAAGAUUUUGCCAUCUUCUGCUCCUAUUUUUAGCCCGACGCGAUUAUUUUGCUCCACAAUGCGUCAAAGCAGCUAUAACCUGAAAUUCAGUGACGUGCAAAAAUUAUAAAAUGUUAUUGAUUUAUCUCUUACAUUAACAAAAUGCUGUAUCUGUGCCCAGAUCAAACAAAAAAAUAAGUACACAACUUGCCAGGAGGCAGGUUUUAACACUCGUUGGGGAUUAUGAAUUAAAUUGCAAUGCUGCCAAGCUGCAAUAGAGACAGUGCUAGCGUGCAAUAAAAAGAAAAUAAAUAAUGAUUUAAAAAAACAAUGAAGGACUAAACACACGGGUGACAGGUAUCACACUGCUGGAACAGCAAUUAAGUUGUUCUUUGUCAUCUCUAAAUUCUAUUCCAUUAGAUAUCUAUAUAAAUAUAUGACCUGAACUAAUUAUAUAUAGUAUAUGUGAUCUCACCUUCCUUCAUACAAUGUCACAUUUACCAACUUCCAGGAUGGACAAAAAACAGCAUAGUCCUUUGGCCCAAAUUGGAGGUGUCAGUGCACAAUACAUGCUUGGUCGAGCUGACUUGCCGGAUGGUAGUCACGGAUUAACUAAUAACACAAAGGGUGAACUGCGGUCAGUAAAUAAUACAAUGUAAAACAAGUUUAAACAUGAGCAGAGAUUAUUUCAACUCCUGAUCUAGUGGUAUAACUAAAGCUGGUCAAGCCACACCAGGGCCCAGAGUUGCAGAGGGAGCUUUGGAGUAAAGGGUCUUAAAUGGACACUUCAGGUGCCUUCAGGUGCCAUAUAGUCUCAUUAUAUCGAGACUAUGCUAGGUAUUGUGCGUGAGGCAGAUAGGGAGAGAGUGCCUGACAUGGUGCCAAGCCCCCUACAUUAUAUUAACACAGCACCCUCCAUGGUGCAGAGCCCUCUACACUAUAAUAACGCUGCACCCACCGUGGUGCAGAGCCCCCUACACUAUACUAAUGUAUCACCCACCAUGGUGCAGAGCCCCCUACACUAUAAUAAUUCAUUGAACACUAUACUAAUGUAGCACCCACCAUGGUGCAGAGCCCCCUACACUAUAAUAAAGCAUUGUACACUAUACUAAUGUAGCACCCACCAUGGUGCCAAGCCCCCUACAUUAUAAUAACGCUGCACCCACCAUGGUGCAGAGCCCCCUAGACUAUAAUAACGCAGCACCCACCAUGGUGUAUAGCCCCCUACACUAUAAUAACACAGCACUAACCGUGGUGCAGCGCCCCCUACACUAGAAAAAUGCAGCACCCACCAUGGUGCGGAGCCCCCUACAUUAUAAUAAUGCAGCAUCCACCAUGGUGCAGAACACCCUACACUAUAAUAACACAGCACCCAAAAUGGUGCAGAGACCCUACACUAUAAUAACGCAGCAGUGCCCCCUACACUAUAAUAACGCAGCACCCACAAUGGUGCAGAGCCCCCUACACUAGAAUAAUGUGUCACCCACCAUGAUGCAGAGCCCCCUACACUAGAAUAACAAAGUACCCACCAUGGUGCCCCAUACACUAUAAUAAUGCAGCACCCACAAUGGUGCAGAGCCCCCUACACUAGAAUAACAAUGUACCCACCAUGGUGCAAUGCCCCCUACACUAUAAUAAUGUAGCACCCACCAUGGUGCAGUGCCCCCUACACUAUAAAAACGCAACACCCACCAUGGUGCGGAGCCCCCUACAUUAUAAUAAUGCAUCACCCACCAUGGUGCAGUGCCCCUACACUAUAAUAACACAGCACCCACUAUGGUGCAGAGCCCCCUACACUAUAAUAAUGUAGCACCCACCAUGGUCAGCAAAGACUUUUGCAGAGCGAUUUAAUGAUGUGCUCAUUCACUGAUUCCAAAUCAGGACUGUAGGCCCAAAUCUGGGACUGUUGGGUAGUAUACAAACAAGAAGCAGGACUGUAUGCAGUGUGGUAGAGAAGUCCAGCAUACAUUCACGCAAACCCUCCAUUAAUGUGUAUUUACUCCAUUAUAUUAUAAUAUAGAUAAACAUUUCAGAGAUAAAAAGGACUACAAUAGUAUUGUAUGCUGACGAUGCAAAGUACUGAACCUCUAAAAUAUCCGUGAGUAUUUACAAUAUAAUUAACUAAAUCUAGAGUAGCUGUGGACAGGCUCUCACAAGUAUUUUCUGAAAUUAAAGAAUCAGAAAAUCAGGGAAAAUCAGAAUGUGUUUGUUCCAGGAUUCUGAAUGAGUGUCAGUCCAGGCUGUGCCAAGAAAGACUGUGCCAGGCGCUGUCUGAACUGCUAUAACCCACAUCCCUCCAUUGUGCCCCCAGUUAGUCAGACCUCUCAGGUGACUCACUGACUUUUGACUCCUGCAGCUGGAAGCAUCAAAUUGGGUUUUAAGAAGCCUCAGCUAUAUUUUCCUGUAGUUCAACUGCUGCCCUCCCAUGUACCUUAAAGCUGCUCUGAGUAAUUUCUCAGGGAGCUUCUGAAACGUGAUUAUGUCUCCUGCUUAUACAAAGUAUUUAAUGAGUCAUUGAAUAAGACUCUCCUCCUAGCCUCACAUGGAACAGAACCCAUUGAUAGGUUAAAUAUUGCUCCCUCUGUAGCCGUGGUGUUGUCUGAGUUGUAAUGACGCGGGACACAUUAACCAGUUUAAAUAUUCUGCAGAAAUAAGCCAUUCAGGAACACAGUAUACUGUGAAACUCUGCCCUUGUUUACAACUUAUGACACACCCUAGCAAGUCAUCAGUCAUAGAAGGGUUAAUCAGAUGAUCACAUUUUAAAAAAAGACUAAUAUAAAGUGCGCUGUGACUAAGAUUGUGCUCACAACAUUUUUGUGUAUUGCAAUCAAGCCCAGCAAAUAAAACAAUUAAACAAACGUGUGUGUGAUAAAAUUCAAAAAAGCAAUUCCUUGUGCAAAAAAAAUGGAAUAGUUGUGCAUCCCCUUGAGAAAGACAUUAGGGGGGGGGAAAUUGGAUUUGUUGCCACCACUUGCUUUGUCCAUUAAGAAGGUAACAUUUUGGAUAAAUUAGUUCAAGGAAACUAUAAUUACCAGAACAACUACAGUAUGUCCCUGCAGGCACUGAAAAAGUGAAAAGGCAGUGUUUACAUUGCUGCUUAGCAGCACCUCUAGUGGUAGUCACUCAGAUGGCCUCUAGAGGUGCUUACUGGGUCAACGCUGCACACUGUGCAGCAUUGAUGUUCAGCAUGGAGACGCUGAAUGUUCCCCAUAGAGAUGCAUUGAUUUAGUACAUCUCUGUGAGUAGAUGCUGAUUGGCUCAGCGCAACGUUUUGACGCACAUGCACAUUAACUACAGGAAAGAAUUGGAUUGGCUGAGAUUUUCAGUUCUGAUAAUCUCAGCCAUGAAGGCAGAGUGGUGGCAGAGCUGCACUUGAAUAAAGAUAAGUUUAAAGCCUUUUUAAGGGGGGCAAGAGGGGUGCCAGUCACCUAAACUAUGUUUUUAACAUCAGAGGGUCAGGAAUACACAUUUAUAGUGUUCAUUUAACUUAUUACUGUAAGUAUAUUCAUGUAAUCAUAAAUUGUAGUUAGUUUUUCACACAUGGUGUCUGUUUCUAGGCUUUAUUUUUGUUAUAAUAAACCAUGACACAAUGUAACUUGCCAUGUGUUAUUGUUAAUCAGAGGUCGUAUUUACCUAAUUUUAAGACUUGCUAAGGAACAGAUAAAUGUUAUGUCCUGAUAUGUAAAACCAUAGAAUUCAAGGAGGGUGUACUUUCUUUUUCCCAUGAAUGUAUAUUAAUAUUUACGCACUCUUUGUACUCUCUUUUUGAAUUAUUGGAUUAAAUAAAGAUAUACUUUUUAUGAAUAUUUGGUGUGUAGUGGGAUUUCUCUUUUUCUAUACUGCUUCUAGGGCACCAGAGAAAAACAGCACAAUAUUAAAUGUACCAGCUGCUGCUCAGGGUUACUCCAGGGCAAUCAUCAUUUCACCAGCGCCCUGCUCAUGGCUAGUUCUGAUUGGCACUUCAUAACUCCAUCAUUACACCAGCGCCCUGCUCAUGGCUAGUCCUAACAGGCACUUCAUAACUCCAUCAUUUCACCAGCGCUCUGCUCAUGGCUAGUCCUAACUGGCACUUCAUAACUCCAUCAUUUCACCAGCGCCCUGCUCAUGGCUAGUCCUGAUUGCCACUUCAUAGCUCCAUCAUUACACCAGCGCCCUGCUCAUGGCUAGUCCUGACUAGCACUUCAUAACUCCAUCAUUUCACCAGCGCCCUGCUCAUGGCUAGUCCUUACUGGCACUUCAUAACUCCAUCAUUACACCAGCGCCCUGCUCAUGGCUAGUCCUGAUUGCCACUUCAUAACUCCAUCAUUACACCAGCGCCCUGCUCAUGGCUAGACCUGAUUGCCACUUCAUAACUCCUUCAUUACACCAGCGCCCUGCUCAUGGCUAGUCCUAACAGGCACUUCAUAACUCCAUCAUUUCUCCAGCACCCUGCUCAUUGCUAGUCCUGAUUGGCACUUCAUAACUCCAUCAUUACACCAGCGCCCUGCUCAUGGCUAGUCCUAAUUGGCACUUCAUAACUCCAUCAUUUCACCAGCGCCCUGCUCAUGGCUAGUCGUAACUGGCACUUCAUAACUCCAUCAUUACACCAGCGCCCUGCUCAUGGCUAGUCCUAAUUGGCACGUCAUAACUCCAUCAUUUCACCAGCGCCCUGCUCAUGGCUAGUCGUAACUGGCACUUCAUAACUCCAUCAUUACACCAGCGCCCUGCUCAUGGCUAGUCCUAAUUGGCACGUCAUAACUCCAUCAUUUCACCAGCGCCCUGCUCAUGGCUAGUCGUAACUGGCACUUCAUAACUCCAUCAUUACACCAGCGCCCUGCUCAUGGCUAGUCCUAAUUGGCACGUCAUAACUCCAUCAUUUCACCAGCGCCCUGCUCAUGGCUAGUCCGAAUUGGCCAUCAUUUUACCCAUGAGCAUCGAUAGUGAUACGAACUGUGUAACUAGUAUGUCUCCAUUCCUUCCCCACUUCUUUUCCUUUUUUAUGUCUCAUAUUUCCUGUCACGUGCACGCAUUAUGCCUCCCAUCUUUACAGCUUUUAGUGGGACAGUCACAAUUUUGUGGUUCUCUCCCGCUGUUUAGCUUUAGUUGUCCCCAGGUAGCACAGCGUGAGCGCACACUAGCACUGUGUAGCAGGCACUAGGACAAUACAGGGAGUGCUUCAGCAGGUCCACCCCUUUUGUGUGCUGGCUUUUCACAGUGAGAGCACGCCAGCGUCCAUAGGAAAGCAUUGUAAAUGCUUUCCUAUGCGACCAGCUGAAUGCGCGCGCAGCUCUUGCCGCGCGUGCGCAUUCAGCCAACGGGGCGGAACUGAGGAGGAUCGGAGGAGGAGAGCUCUCCGCCCAGCGCUGGAAAAAGGUACGUUUAAACCCCUUUCCCCCUUCCAGAGCCGGGCGGGAGGGGGACCCUGAGGGUGGGGGCACCCUCAGGGCACUAUAGUGCCAGGAAAACGAGUAUGUUUUCCUGGCACUAUAGUGGUCCUUUAAGUAAUUCAGUCUUUGCUUCCAUCAGUCUGUAGAGCUGUCAAUGUGUGUCUAUAUGUGUGUGUGUGUGUGUGUUCAGUCUGUGUCUAUCACACUGUAUGUGUGUCAAUAUGGGUGUGCCUACUAAUAGCUAUAUCGCAGACUCUCUCCCUUAUCAUUAGUAUCCAGUUGCAGCUACAAUGCAUUCUCCUUGUAAUUAUCCCGGACUGCAACAUGCUGCGGGAAGGACUGGGACUUCAUACAUGAAUUAUAGAGGGUUUAUCAUUUCUCUAUCUCUUAUAUACAGUUUUUUUUCACUUCACUCCACGUAACGGUUUUUACAUUUCUUUAUCACAAGACUUGUAUCGGCACAUGAAAAGCUUGCAGUGUCCAUGAUGCAGUUUGUCCCGCAGUUUGCUCAGCACCAUGAUAGUCUGAGAAAAAUUAUCCAAGCCUCGGGGUCUUUUGUAAAACAUGUGAAUGGGUUCUGUGAAUGCGCUUCAUUUAUUUAUUUUUAUUACUGACCUCGGGUUAUUCAGGAAUGUAUUAACUUUUAACCAUUUGUAUGUCUCAGCUGUUUCAUCUUCCAAGGGGUUUUGAGAUGCCCACAUUAUAUUUUUGAUAAAUAACUGUUUGAAGUCGAAAGCUGUACUAGAGAUGUUUGGACUUGGUGUUUUAAGUAUUUUAAAAUGUGAAUAUUUUAUGUCAUUAUUGAUUAUUAAAUAUUUUUCAUGUAUUGUUAUACCAGUAUCCACAAUUUGUUAACCAUAUUACCAGUAUUCUACAAAGAAAAAAAGACUCACUCUGGAUGAGAACCUAUAACUAUGCACUGAUCAGCUACAAUAUUAAAUCCACCAUGUACAUCCCCUUCCUGCUUUUAAAACAGCUCUGAUGAGUUGAAGCAUGGACUCCACAAGACCUUGGAACAUGUCCUGUGGUAUCUGGCACCAAGACUUUAGCAGCAGAUCCUUUAAGUCCUGCAAGUUGCGAGGUGGGGCCUCCCUGGAUUAUAUUUGUUUUUCCAGCACAUCCCAUAGAUGCUAAAUUUGAUUGAGAUCAAAACUAGAGUCCCCAGCAGCCCAUCCUCUCUGUGCUGAUUGGACUGAUAGGGAAGCAUUAGCCUGAGCAGUGACGGGUGGCUGUGAUUGGCUGAAAGUUUCAGAUGACCCCUUUCUGCCUAUCACAGAGUCCAUUGCUGGUAUGAAUCUGUAUGGCUAAAAGGAAGUGUGUAAUCUCUGACUUAGGUACAGAUCCAAUGAGGGCUGGGUUGUGGCAUGCCAGGAAAUCUUGUACACUUUGAAACUGCUUGAAAAUAGUUUAAUCCAAGCUAUGGGAAUAAAAAAUACAUGGCAUAGUGCAAUAUUGUCUGUGGUAAAAUGGGUAUAUGAGUAAGUGCCAAAUGUUCACUCACACUUUAACAUCCCAAGAAAUGCCUUCAAAAGUGUGCUUGGUGUGUCUUCUUGCUUCAAUGUUUGAUGAAUAUAAAUCUCAUAAAAAAACGAAAAUAAAAAAAGAAUGAAAUGACUAUAUAAAGGGUAAAAAAAAGUAUUUAUUACUUACAUAAUGUCUUUUUAACUAAUUUGUCACUAAUUUGUCACUCCCCUUUUGUACACUCCCCACUCAUACUCCCAUUUACCCUUUAUUCAUACAGUCAUUUCAUUCUUUUUUUUACUUUUGUUUUUUAUGAGAUUUAUAUUCAUCAAACAUUGAAGCAAGAAGACACACCAAGCACACUUUUGAAGGCAUUUCUUGGGAUGUUAAAGUGUGAGUGAACAUUUGGCACUUACUCAUAUACCCAUUUUACCACAGACAAUAUUGCACUAUGCCAUGUAUUUUUUAUUCCCAUAGCUUGGAAUAGCCCUAUACCAUAUACUUACUAAAUUGAAGAUAGGAGGAAAUCCUCGGGCAUAUCCUAUAUUGCUAAGGGAAGUUACUCUUUAUUUGUUUAUUCCACCAUAAUCACUUUAAAUUGAAAUUUCUAUAUCACUGUAUGUGGAUUUUAGAAUCACUGUUGUAAAUUCACAAGUGUGUGAAAAAUUCCUUAUAUACUUCUGAAAAUAGUUUAACACUGAAGUGAGGGACAGUGCCAUGGAUCUCCAUGUACUUUAGCAAAUUCAGUAAAAUGAAAUGGUUGUAAUAACUACAGUUUCCCGUUAAUGAUGUACAGCCAAUGUUAGCACGAUUACAAUUAGUUUAAUAAUAACAAAAAAAAAAUCAAACAACCCCCCCACCCACCACAAAUGAGGUAAUACCAUUAAUACCCUUUUUAUUUUUUUUAAUUUUUUUAUUAUUUAUUUUUUUUACCUUUUUUGGUUUUCCAGCUUUCAACUAAAUGACCUGGGUGCAAAUAGCUUCAUUCAUAAGCUACAUUGUGACUUGGUUUUAAAUUAUAUGGGGUGUGCUAGAUUUUGUGUAAUGCCCAGGCUUUCUACUCGUCCUUAGACUUAGUAUCCCUUUAACAAUAUAGAACCCAUUAAAGAAAAAAGGAAAAAAAAACUUAUUAGAACAUGUGUUAUUUCAACUGUGUCAAGUAUUGAAAUGUGUAUUUUUAUAUAUUACAGACAAAACGUCCUUGUAAGAUUUAGUAUGCUUAUUGAGAAAUCUUAACAUUAUCUCUUUGUGGAAGACAUGAAUACAAUAAUAAUCUUGGUACUUAAUAGUCCUUUUUCUUAUUUAAAUUCAUCCAGGGGAAAACGGCUUACUGGUUUAUAAGCGUGUUUGUAAUGCGCCAUGUAGAAGAAACACAAAAGCAUAUGUUGUUAUUUGCACCGACCUUGCCAUGCGUUCAGAGACAGAUUAAACAUAAAUCACAAUGGCAUAUGUUUUUUACUACGUGCAAAUAAACUUUGCUACAUCAAGGCACGUUAAUCCAUUUCCCUUUCUUUAAUCCUUAAUGCAGAAGGAAAAAAAAUCAAGGUUUCUGUUACUGCAGAUACAAGAUUCCUUCCACAGCAGAGAUUAUUGAUACUGUAUAAAUUUAUAGAUGUGCUUGCUGUUAUAACUUGGGAACUCACCUGUUUAACCUUAGGAAACCUCACUUCUAAAUACUACUUCUAUGAGGAUGGAGACCUUGUAGCUGAACGAGACUAAUUCACAUUCCACAUCCACAUUUUCUGAGUCCCAUCCACUCCCCAUCCCAUGCCCUGGAAUUGAAGGAAUAGGAGGGAAGAUAUGCAGGGCAAAUUAGAGGUGGAAAUACCUGUAAAAUGGACAGGAUCUGCCUUAAAUUGACUUUUCCAAAAAGUGUUCAGUGCUGAUCACGGAGUGGGUGGAGGAUAAGUGAUGUUUCCUCCAACAGAAGAAGACAAGCUUGUCCCAGAAGCCUUACAAUAAGUGUUCAAACCUAGAACCUCUGAACCAAACCUGGUCACUUCCAAGGUAGGUCCAGGUGGUGCUUUAUAAAUAAUUACAGCUUAAAAAGGGGCAUUGGUGCUACAAGGCUUUGACUGCAGUAGCAAAAGACCAUUUUUGAGUAGUUACGGAAAACUGGCACUCCCCAUCAUCGAAAGCCAAGUAUCCCUGCUGCUGCUGCUGACUCUCUAUUGUAGAAUUGUACUCAGUAGAGAGUCAUAUAUGAGUAUGGGUACUCCAGAGACAUCUCCCAUCUGUCUAGGUCCACUAGUAGAAUGAAAUCACUGAUGUAUGGGAUAGAAUUAUAUAGAAUUAUAUAUUGUCACUGAUUUUAGUCUAUUUGAUUAUUACAGAGAUUUGAUCUUGAGUGGCAUGUGUUUAAGGGUCGCACACAGUUUGGAUGAUGCAAUCAGUCUGCUCUCACAGCCAGUUGUAGGAAAUUAAAAAAAAGAACCAAUUUAAAGUUUAAGAAGGUUAUUUACUAAAGUGAGAAUUGUCUGAAAUUCUAAAUAAAUUCAAAGUGAAUUUCAAAUUUAAGGAUGAAGUUGCAGAAUAAAAAGCAUAGCUGACUGGGAAAAUUUUCUAGUUUGGUUAUUUUGGCCUUAUAUUUGAAAUUUACUUUGAUUUCAUGGUAAAUCUCACUUCAGUGAAUAACUCUUUCUAAAUAAUAGAGGCAAGUUUGGCAGGUAUGCAAACAUUGUAUUCAUCCCUUAGCUAUUUGGUUUUACAGAGAAUUUACACACAAUUAAAAAAUAUACUAUUGUAAUUAGAGAUAACUAUAUUAGAAAAUGUUCAAAUGCAAUGUAUCUAUGGGGAAGAGAGUUUAAAGGACCACUCUAGGCACCCAGACCACUUCAGCUUAAUGAAGUGGUCUUGGUGCCAGGUCCUUCUAGGGUUAACCCAUUUUUUUUAUAAACAUAGCAGUUUCAGAGAAACUGCUAUGUUUAUUAAUGGGUUAAGCCUUCCCCCAAAGCCUCUAGUGGCUGUCUCAUUGACAGCCACUAGAGGCGCUUGCAUGCUUCUCACUGUGAUUUUCACAGUGAGAGCACGCAAGCGUCCAUAGGAAAGCGUCCGGAGGAGGAGAGAAGGAGGAGAGCUCUCCGCCCAGCACUGGAAAAAGGUAAGUUUUUACCCCUUUCCCCCUUCCAGAGCCGGGCGGGAGGAGGACCCUGAGGGUGGGGGCACCCUCAGGGCACUAUAGUGCCAGGAAAACGAGUAUGUUUUCCUGGCACUAUAGUGGUCCUUUAACUUUAAAGGUACACUAUAGUCACCAAACAAGUUUAGCUUAAUGAAGCAGUUAAAUCACUGGGUUUAUGCAGCCAUUGUCACAGCUCCCUGCAUGUGACUUACACAGCCUUCCUAAACACUUACUGUAAAGAGUCAUCUAAUGUUUAAGCAUCCUUUAUUGCCCAGUCUGUUUAAUUUAGAAUUUCUUAUCUCCAGCUCUGUUAAUAGCCUGCUAGACCUUGCAGUAGCCUCCUGUGUGUGAUUAACGUUUUACAGAGUAGGAGAUAAAAACUUCUAAAGAAACCUAACAUCUGAUAAAACCAUUUUAUUUUUAUGCACACACAGGGGAGGUGUAGCUGGGGCUGCAUAGACAGAAACAAAAGUGCCCCUACACUAAUUUUAACAAUAGAGACAAACAACUACUAAAAUGAUAUUUUAUAGAUAGUAGCUUAUAAAUUAAUGUGGAGCCCCUUCAGUGUCUUACCAGAGGCAAUGACGAUGUCCCUCGUCGCUGCUUCUUCCUCCGCCCACGCUCCUCCCCGUCACCACGUCAGCCGGCGGGGUAUACUAAUCCCGCCCGCCGGCGGGGGAGACCUAAUGCGCAAUGCCACGCGGCAAUGCCACGCAGCGCAUUGGAUCCUCUCCAUAGGAAAACAUUGCAAAUGCUUUUCAAUGCUUUCCUAUGGGGAUUUUAGUGACGCUGGAGGUCCUCACACAGCGUGAGGACGUCCAGCGACGCUAUAGCACAGAAAACCUGUCUAUAGACCAGGAAGUGUCCUCUAGUGGCUGUCUAGUAGACAGCUACUAGAGGAGGAGUUAACCCUGCAAGGUAAUUAUUGCAGUUUAAGAAAACUGCAAUAAUUACACUUGCAGGGUUAAGGGUAGUGGGAGUUGGCACCCAGACCACUCCAAUGGGCAGAAGGGGUAUGGGUGCCUGGAGUGUCCCUUUAAUCUUUAUUUCCUCUCUAAAUAAUUGGCUGUAUCAUUCUAUAGGCACAUCUAAUUAAACAUUAAUAUAAAACAUAUGAAUUUAGCAGAUACAAUAUUGGAGAGGCACUUCCUGAUUUGGACAGAAAAUCUAAUAAAGACUCCAUAGAAGUACCCCGUCAGCCUCUUGUUCUGUGAUCUCUCACUACGGGGAUUCCUAUGAGUUACAACAGAUACAGCAUGAUUCCGAGCAAGUUCUCAAGCUCUGCUUGAUACAAAAAACAGGUCUCAUCUGCUUAAUUAUAGCUGCAAGAAAUAUGAGGGAAAAAAGUGUAUAUAACGAACAGGACCAUUUAUUUAUCAAGGGGAAAUGGUAAUAGGCACCAAUAACAUAUAAUGUUCGCUCAGGUAAUCAAUGAAUAAGAAAUGCUGUACUCGUUAUGAAGUAGCUGUUGGUUACAGAAUCCAUUACUCAUGUUGGGAAUAAUUUCACAGGAAUAUUGCACUGAUUCAAGGCAGGGACCCAGGGGCCUUACUCAGCAAUUACAAGUUCAACUCUGCGUUUACAAUUCUAAGUAAUAGAAAGGAUGUUAAGCAAACUGGAAUAUAUGAUGCAGUGCUGUACUCCAGUACACCUCCCAAGUGUACCUAUUUAAGGGGGGCAGUCCCUAUUUAGGCCCAAAUCCUUCUGUCCCUCUUUUCUCUCCUAAUGUCCCUCUUUUCUAGGAGCUCCAUAUUGUUGGUAUGUCUGGGUGUAUAACAGAGCUCCACAGCAAUAAUACUCCCAGUAAUGUGUCUGAGUGUAUAACAGAGCUCCACAGCAAUAAUACUCCCAGUAAUGUGUCUGAGUGUAUAACAGAGCUCCACAGCAAUAAUACUCCCAGUAAUGUGUCUGAGUGUAUAACAGAGCUCCACAGCAAUAAUACUCCCAGUAAUGUGUCUGAGUGUAUAACAGAGCUCCACAGCAAUAAUACUCCCAGUAAUGUGUCUGAGUGUAUAACAGAGCUCCACAGCAAUAAUACUUCCCAGUAAUGUGUCUGAGUGUAUAACAGAGCUCCACAGCAAUAAUACUCCCAGUAAUGUGUCUGAGUGUAUAACAGAGCUCCACAGCAAUAAUACUCCCAGUAAUGUGUCUGAGUGUAUAACAGAGCUCCACAGCAAUAAUACUCCCAGUAAUGUGUCUGAGUGUAUAACAGAGCUCCACAGCAAUAAUACUCCCAGUAAUGUGUCUGAGUGUAUAAUAGAGCUCCACAGCAAUAAUACUCCCAGUAAUGUGUCUGAGUGUAUAACAGAGCUCCACAGCAAUAAUAUUCCCAGUAAUGUGUCUGAGUGUAUAACAGAGCUCCACAGCAAUAAUACUCCCAGUAAUGUGUCUGAGUGUAUAACAGAGCUCCACAGCAAUAAUACUCCCAGUAAUGUGUCUGAGUGUAUAACAGAGCUCCACAGCAAUAAUACUCCCAAUAAUGUGUCUGAGUGUAUAACAGAGCUCCACAGCAAUAAUACUCCCAGUAAUGUGUCUGAGUGUAUAACUGAGCUCCACAGCAAUAAUACUCCCAGUAAUGUGUCUGAGUGUAUAACAGCUCCACAGUAAUAAUACUCCCAGUAAUGUGUCUGAGUGUAUCACAGAGCUCCACAGCAAUAAUUCUCCCAGUAAUGUGUCUGAGUGUAUAACAGCUCCACAGUAAUAAUACUCCCAGUAAUGUGUCUGAGUGUAUCACAGAGCUCCACAGUAAUAAUACUCCCAGUAAUGUGUCUGAGUGUAUAACAGAGCUCCACAGCAAUAAUAGUCCCAAUAAUGUGUCUGAGUGUAUAACAGAGCCCCACAGCAAUAAUACUCCCAGUAAUGUGUCUGAGUGUAUAACAGAGCUCCACAGUAAUAAUACUCCCAGUAAUGUGACUGAGUGUAUAACAGAGCUCCACAGCAAUAAUAGUCCCAAUAAUGUGUCUGAGUGUAUAACAGAGCUCCACAGUAAUAAUACUCCCAGUAAUGUGACUGAGUGUAUAACAGAGCUCCCUAGCAAUAAUACUCCCUGUAAUGUGUCUGCGUGUAUAACAGAGCUCCGCAGCAAUAAUACUCCCAGUAAUGUGUCUGAGUGUAUAACAGAGCUCCACAGCAAUAAUACUCCCAGUAAUGUGUCUGAGUGUAUAACAGAGCUCCCUAGCAAUAAUACUCCCUGUAAUGUGUCUGAGUGUAUAACAGAGCUCCGCAGCAAUAAUACUCCCUGUAAUGUGUAUUUACAUUACAAUAAAUGUGUUUAGAAUGCAGUCUGUGUAAAUAAUUUACAUUUGUUCUAAUUUACAUUUAGAAAUUAUUAGUAAAUCAUAUACAUUUCUCAGAACAGCCCAACCCCUGGCCACACCCACAUUCACACCCCUAAAAUUAAAGCGUCCAUGUUUGUCCAUUCGAAAUGUUGGGAGGUAUGCUCUAGGAUUGGGCAAAACGUAGAUCAUUCACCAGCUAAUGCAAAUACAGCUCCCAUGAUGCUUUGCUAGCCUUAUGGUUCAAAAAACAUCAUAGGUGUUGAACUCCUCUUUACCAAAUGUAUCAAGGGAAGGACAUGAUCCUGGACCAUCUAUCCUACAGAAUACAAGCUUUACCACAAAGAACUUUGUUACAUUCCCCCAUAGCACAACUCUUCACCAAUUAGAUUGAUGCCUUGACAAAUGAAGUGAUUUGCAAAGUCACGUUACCUGUUGGGAAAUAUUUUGUCUCAAUUCACUGUUUUCCUGUAAUAUUAAAUGGUUGAGGUUGUUAUAAUUUGCACAGACAGUAGGAUGAAAAGUUGAGAGUUGGCUGGUCUUGUCCCGAUUUUGAACAUUUUUGUAACCAAAGAAUACUCAAAGUUCUUCGUUUUAGCAAUUGCUCAUCAUACAAAAGCAACAUAAUACGUUCUUUCACUCUUUACUAUACCCUGAAGACGAUAACAUCACGUGUAUCUCACAAGAUUAUUGAUCAUCAUUUAUCUCUAAGGAAAAAUAAAAAAUGAUUAAAAUUGGAGUUGUUUAGUUGUGCUUCUUUUUAUUGCGAAGAAAAAUGUCAAGGGCGUUUUGUGAGAUAAUCAAGUUGCUAAGUAGGUGAAACUAGCAGAACCUAACAGCCAAUUCUGCAUCUUUUCAGAAAUAUUUUUUAAAAGUCAAAUGUUACUUAGACCUCGAUUUAAUUUUUUUAAACACUUUUUAAAAUAAUUUAAUAUUAUGAAAAUAUUUUACAUGUGUGAUAUUUACAUAUUUAUUUGAUAUUUUUUAAUACAAUAUAGAUUUUUAUGAUUUUUAGUAUGCUAUAAAAAAAUAAUUUGAAAAGUGUAUCCAAAAAUAUCAAAUCAUUUGAAAAGCUUAUACAACAAUAUUAAAUUGAGGUCUUAAUAUGUGAUACGUCUGUCAUUGUAAAAGAUGCUUUAGCAUUACAUAACCAGCAAUAAUUUUAAUAACUUGCAAUAAUUACCUUUAUGGGUGUACCACUAGAGGGACGUCUGGGUCGCUAGGCGACUUUUUGGCGCCUAACUGACGCUGGAUGUCCUCACACAAUGCAUGAGGACAUCCAGCGUCACCCAAAACACCAUAAGAGAGAAUUGUAUAAUGCUUUCCUAUGGGGAAAUACUAAUGUGAGUGCAGCCAUUGCGGAGAUGGAGCCUGAGCCAGCGCAGAUGGACAUCAGUGCUGGACUCAGGUAAGUGACAGUAGGGUUUUUUAACCCCUUCUGCAUGAUGGGUGAGGGUAGGAGGGGAGGUGAGAAGUUCACAUAGGGGGCACUAUAGGGAGCCAUAGUGCCACUAUAGUUUUCCUUUAAAUUUCCACAUUCUCUCCCUGAUAAUUUGUUAGGACACCAUAGUGUCUCAGGUUUACAAGCUUGUCUCAUCUCAUCCUUUCAAAGUUGAUGAAAUGGGCAUCAUUAAUUUGGGAAAUAAUAACUCAGAGACUCUAGAAAAGUUAAAUGUACUUUCCUUGGUUAAAAACUUUGACAUUAUUAUCAGGGACGGAUUAACUCUCUGUGCUGCCCCAAGGCCAGUUUUCACAAUGCACCCCUGUCCCCCUUUAUGGAUACACAUGAAGGAACUGAAACAUGGAAGGGAAACAAAAUCCUGUAGGCCUUUUUGUAAUCACUUGAACAGUUUAAUAAAAGUGUGAUGUGUAUGAGUGUAUCACAGAGCUCCCCAGCACUAACACUCACACAGGGUCAUUAACUAAAGUAAGAAUUUGAGGUAAAAAUAGUCGAUCUGAGUAAAAAUCUCUGUCAGCUCUGCUUCUGGUUCAACUAAUUUGGCCUUAAAUUUUAAAUUCAAUAUGAAGUUUCAGUAAUGUUCAGUAUGUUGGUGAGUGUAUCAAAGAGCUCCACAGGCAUUUUAGCCGUUAUGUGAGGAGCUCUUCAGCAAAACAGCUAACAAUAAUGUACAGCAGGGGUAGUCAACCUUGUCCCUACCGCCCACUAGUGGGUGAUUUGGGAUUUAAGGUGGGAGGUGGUGGAUUCUGUGGAAGAUGCCCACUGGGCCUUGAUGGCUGUGGGCCAAGGGUGGCAGGAAAGAUGCAGAGCCAGACUUGCUGUAAGCCCUCUCGGACUGGUGAGGAGAUCAAUGAUCUCUCUCACUAGCCCGCCGGCACUUCAUUCCAGCAGAGGGAUGGAAAGACCUGGGAGGCUCUGUGUUCCUCCCACAAGCAGGCUGGUCGGAGUAUUGCUGCGCGUUACCAUGGCAAUGCUCUGGUACAGUGCUGUGCUCACAGGAGGACAGGAGAGUCAGCCUACAGCCGGAGGAGCUGCAGGCUAAACUAAACAUGCCACCACUUGACCACCAGGGCUUGCAGCAUUAUGUCCCCCACCUUGACAAAGGUAAGAAGAAGGGAGGGAGAGACAUUAAGAUAGAUUUUUACAUCUCACCCACCUACACACAUCAUAGACCCUAUGCACUUUUCACACACACUAUACCCCUCACACACACACAACCUCCGCAUCACACAGACUGCCCCCUCACAAACACACUCUGCAACCCUCACACACACUGCGCCCCCCUGACACACACUACACCUCUCAGUCACUCUACCCCACAUAAACUAUCCUACACUGCACCCAUCACACACACACUGCUAAAAAAAAACAACGUCCUUUCUAAAAACAAUAAAUUUAAAACAAAUCAGGCUUGUGCUAUAAAAUUAGUUACUGUGGCACUGGUAGGCGGUAAGGGAAUUUUACCAUUAACAAAGAUACAAAAGUGGGCAGUAGUUAUUAAAAGGUUGACUACCCCUGAUCUACAUUGUUUAUAGGAAAACUUUAGUGUUAAGAUCUAUUCCUAACACAAAAUGGUCACUCAGCAAUCCUUCGUCCCUAUGCUCCACCCUCCUAUAUAUUUAUUCUGUUUGUAUAUAUGACAUAUGAUUUUUAAUAUUUUAAAAAAUAACUUUAAAAAUUUGUGUAAAAGUAUUAAAUCAUUUGAAAAACUUUUGCAAAAAUAUUAAACUGAGGCCUAGGUGUCAGUACAUCUAAUGUGUCCACUCUCAUUCAGAUUGCAACUUUGCAGGUUUCUGUUACUAUUACCGAGCACUCCCAACUGCGUCAGAGUUUUAAUUUGGAACCUUUCUCUCCUGUUAAGAUUUUUUUCCCCAGAGCUUCAUACCAGAAACAAGUACCUAUAAACCACGUCAGUUCGCUUUCAAAGAUGCUCAAAACUGGCUAUGCCAAGACAUUGCUACCCAGACAGGAGCACUUAAGCGACACUCUGUUUUGUGGGUAGCCUUGCCUGUCAAUCUGAUACAUUUCUGAAAAUAUUUUGAUGAUACUUCAGACUGCUAUCCAUACUAUCAUCUUACAGAUCGCAUUUGUCCUGGAAUAGAAGAACCUGAUUUGACGUUCUUCUCUUGCCUUCAGAGCACCAGCUAUUGCAUGUUGGGCUUUUUUUUUUUUUUCAUUAUUAUUGUGAUAAGAGAUGUUAUAGUUUAUUUCUGGGGUUUAUUUACUUACCAAGCAGUGACGAAAGCUGAGUUGGAGAAUUACCCCAAAGCAGAUAUGUCAGCCUUAAUUUUGCCAUUCUGAUUUUAAAUCGCUACAAUGUAGAGUUUAGUGAGUAAACCCCUGUGUAUAAGUUUACUCAAUGGAAGUAGCCCUCUUUAAGACCUCAUUGAUCAGAAGCACCAUUUAUCUGACCAAAGACCAUAUAGGUAACAAGAGCUUGCAAUGUUUAUGAAUCCUGAUCUCACGUACGAGCCCUGGGAAUUUCAGAAAAAAACUCAGACCAAUGCAGCAAAUUGCACAGUAUUCUAAGGAUUCCUAUUAAAUAUUUUCAUGGGGGUCAAAUCAAGGCUAAUAUUAAUAGGUUUUGUUACCAUAACUGUAACAGCACAGAUUAAAAACAAUACGAUGUUGAAGAAUUAAUAUUCUGAAAAAGGUCUGUUUGUUUCCAAGUAUAAUGGCCCUUGAUAAAGUUUGCACACAGACAGGAUGUAUACCUUAACUUGUAAGGCUGACAGCAUAAUGAAUGGGUUCUCCAGAUUCUAGUAUGUUUUACAAACCUCUAAAAAUGUUCAGAUGACAUUCAGCCUUCUUAAUGUCAGAGCUUCAUAGAGGGAAGCAGCAAAAAUCAUUGCUCUCGUUAAUCCAUUCGUCCCUAAUUCUCAGUGCAACAGGGAAACCGAAAGCUUAUUUUGUUUGUGUAAGUUAUGCAAAAAGGUCUUACUCUAUAAAAGUGCUAAAUAAAUUCUCCUGGCUUCAAGUUGUAAAAUUCUGUUCAUAAAUAAGUACAAAACCUAGCCAAGUUUUCUGCAAAAAAAAAAAAAAAUGCACAAAGUAUAGAAAUGUAUUAGACUUAAUGAUAUGCACUCCCCCGUGGUAGUAAACGCUUUAAGCAAGAGAGAUAAAAAUCUGCAAAAUUAGAUGGAAAUUUGAAUAGAAUGAUAUUACAUUAUGACAUUUUCCAUUAACUGUUCCAAUGAUGGCUAAAAUGACUCUCUGAGUCUAAGUGACUUUAUAGUCCAAAACAGCAAGUCAUCCAUUUGAAUGGCUGGGUGUAAUGGAAUCUCAACUACUUGAUGGCUUUCUGAAGAUUAGAUAUCACUGAACUUUACUGUAAGGAGAAUACAGUGUAGUGGAAUACAACUCCCAUCACUUAUUUUGUAAGCAGCUGGAUACAUUCUUUUGUUUGUUUUUUUGUCAAAGAUUUUGUGGACAGUUUAAGAGAGAACGUAGAUUUUUUUUCCUCUGCUAGAUAAUGCAUUAUUUAUAGUGUAGAGGAUAUUGGAAAACCAGUCUCUCUACUUAAGUGAAACAAAUGAUGGGACUAUGAAUGUAAUGUAUGUUCUGGGGCCCUAUGCAAUCAUAGGUUCCCUCUGCAAUCUGUGAUGUAGGUCCUACCUAAAAACUGUGUCUGGGUUGUUACAGCUCAUGAUAAGGAUAGUCUUAUAGUCAAAUAUAUUUCCUGAUGGAGAACACCUCUUCUAUUCAAAAGGGAAAACAGAUGUUUAAGCUAUUGCUAAUUGCUAUAAGCAGGAUUGAACCAGGCCUCCCCAGAAUGUGACAUAUUAUCCAACUUAAAGGACCACUAUAGUGCCAGGAAAACAUACUUGUUUUCCUGGCACUAUAGUGCCCUGAGGGUGCCCCCACCCUCAGGGACCCCCUCCCACCCGGCUCUGGAAAGGGGAAAAGGGGUAAAACUUACCUUUUUCCAGUGCUGGGCGGAGAGCUCUCUGCCUCCGAUCCUCCUCCAUUCUGCCCCGUCGGCUGAAUGCGCACGCGCGGCAAGAGCUGCGCGCGCAUUCAGCCAGUCGCAUAGGAAAGCAUUAUCAAUGCUUUCUUAUGGACGCUUGCGUGCUCUCACUGUGAUUUUCACAGUGAGAAUCACGCAUGCGCCUCUAGCGGCUGUCAAUGAGAGGAUUUGGGGGAAGGCUUAACCCAUUGAUAAACAUAGCAGUUUCUCUGAAACUGCUAUGUUUAUAAAACAAUGGGUUAACCCCAGCUGGACCUGGCACCCAGACCACUUCAUUAAGCUGAAGUGGUCUGGGUGCCUAGAGUGGUCCUUUAAGGUUGAAAACCAGAGUACCACUGACAGCUAGACUUAGACUAAAAGUGACACGCUAUGACAGAGCAUGUCCGCUAUUUUGAAGUUCACCCAUGGUGCAAAUUAGAUGACUGAUGUUUAGGAGACAGUCACUAAAUGUAGACUUUAUUCACAGAUAAUGUGAGAAGUGACCAACAGAAAAAAAAGGAAGAGCAAUAAAAAUAAAUACAUCUAUAUUUAUAUUAUGCAUAUAUUUUGUAAAACAAUAAUUUGCCCAUUUUUCUGCCCUUGGUUGAUCUGAUUUGUUUCCCAAAUUAGGUUCUCAUUACUGAAAUUCUGCCGAGCUGAAUUGCCAUAUGGUGGAAGAAAAUAUUCUUCCAAAACAAAUGUUCCUGUCUCCUAGUCUAUUGACAGUGAGCUGUGUUAGUGUCCUUCGUUCCAAAGUUGAGAAGCGGUAAACCAGCAUAUGAGGGGCAUGUAUCCUGGGCAGCUGGGCAAGUUCUUGUGCAUGUGCAAAGCACUCUAGCAUGUGCCUGCAUUGUGAGCUGGAUUAACCACGUGGUGAUCUUAGGUGGCUGCCUAGGGCUCAGAGGUUAGGCAGGAACCAUGAAUUUACAUGGCCUAACUUACCAUGCCUGAGUGACGAAUGAAGGUGAGGCCCCAACCAGUACCUAAACUUCCUAGGUCUCUGUAAGAUCUUAAUCCUCCUCUACCUACGUUAGUACAUUCGAUGAUGAUUUUCACAUUAUAUCUUGAGUGGGUUUUAGAGGAUUUUCUUGUCUGUUCUUUUAAAGCAUGAUACACCACAAUGUCCUGGUACGCUGGAUCUGAAAUAAAUGAUUGACAUGCAGCUGCAAACACAGAUCUAAUACAAGGCUUAGUAUGGGCCUCACAAUUAUUAUUUUAUUAUUUUAUUAUUUUAUUAUUUAUAUAGUGCCAGUAAAUUCCAUAGCGCUGUACGAUGGGCGAUGCAUGGAAAGGACACCUAUAAAGCCACAGAUAUCCUUGUUGGGGUCAUACGUUUAAAUGCCAGUUUAUUAACUUGGAAAAGGCUUUCUUAAUAUUUAAACAUUUGUCACCUCACCACCACAAACUGUUCUUUGAAUUAAACCCAUCGGUUUCAUGCACACCUAUUAAAUCUCAUUUGUGUAAGAAUUGUGCUUGUGACUAUUAAUAAAUACUGACAAAUACCAUAAUACCUCCUUGAUUUUCUAAGCAACUGCCAAGUUAGCUGGCAAAAACUCAGGAUAGUUCAGCUGAAUCAUGCAAAGCUCAGCAGAUACAACUUGGCACAUUCACUUAGGACCAAGUUGCACAAAGAUCCUGCCAAGUUAACUAAACUGCUGCAUGAACUUGUGUAGAGAAUAAUAUCAAUAAUAAUUGUUAUAUUAACAAGUUGGGUUUUUUUAGGUCGGAGACUCUGAUGUUUUUUUCUUAUUUGACCUGGCAUAUAAUAAUUAGUGGAUUAAUCAACUGAACUAUCUGAUUGGCUACAGUUAUAAGCUUCGGCCAGGAAUCUUUCCAUAAGCUUAAGGUUCAUCUUGGCUGGAUCCAAGCUGUCUUUGUCUUCUUUGGCUUUUUAUCCAGUGAUUCUCAAAUGGAAAUCAGCCCGGACUGAUCAAGGUUGCACAAAAGGUUCACAACUUCAAUUCCAGUUGUUAUUGAAAUAAAAGGGAUCCACCUUUAAUAAUUUGGUUCUCUAAAAAAAAUAAGUAAAAGCACAUACCGUAAUUAUUGGUAAUGAUAGGUUUUUCCCAUCCAGUGUGGUAACAACAACUGCAACUGCAACAUGCAACUUUUGUUCCUUCUCUGCCGUAUCUAAAGCCAGUUCUAAUUCAAGAUAUAAUCUAGUCGAAGAGUGGAAGAGAACCAAACAGAUAUAAAAUAGUUGAAGGGUGAAAGAGAAUAGAGUACGAACGACGAUAUAAUCUGGUGAAAGAAUGGAAAAGAAAAGAAAGAUAGAUUUUAAAUACUUCUAAAGAAUUGUGGAUCUGUUCCAUGGUGCUCCAGGUGUGGUAGCAGACUCUAUAUGUUUCCCUGAGUGCAACAGUACUUUUGGAAUUAGAAAGGAAAGGCAAAAAUAUAACCUGACUGUAAUAUCAGAGCAAACAGGGUAUUUUGGGAAUAUGCCCAGAAGUGAACUGUGAGCGUGGUACAAUGGCGGCUAUUUGGAACCCUACUUAUCAGUCAAUGGAAUCUUAAACCUCUUAAAAAAGCUAGAUGUUGAUAAGGCUUUACAGCUAUGACUAUAGAAGUGAUACAGUCUCACUGAUGACCAACAAUACGUCUUUAAUAACAUUUACAUAAAUUGUGAAAAAUAUAAUGCGCGAUAGACUUGUCUUCAUUUUAACGAUGUACUGACCUGUGGUUGUAUCUAUAUUAUUUAAUAUAUUUUCUCCUUAUCAUUUUGGUUUGGUAAUAAACACUAUAUCAAAUGACACCUUCAUGUCACAACUUGUACAAGCACCAACUAGAAUGGAUGCUUGUCUGGACCUGGUUUUAACAAACAACGUUGAUCUUUUGACCAACAUUCAAGUAGGUGAGCACUUGGGAAAUAGUGAUCACAAUAUAGUGUCCUUUGAAAUAAACUCAAAAAAACAAAAGCACAUGGGGUAUACUAAAACAUAUAAUUUUAAAAAGGCCAAUUUCAAUAAGUUAAGGGAAGCUUUACAAUAUAUUGACUGGCAUAAACUCUUUAGUGAAAAGAACACUGAUGAUAAAUGGAUCAUCUUCCAACAAAUAUUACAAAGGUACAUUUCUCAGUAUGUACCAUUGGGAAAUAAAUAUAAAAGAAACAAAUUAAAACCAACAUGGCUUAGUAGAGAAGUAAAACAAGAGAUUACAACUAAGAGAAGGGCAUUUAAAGCAUUUAAAUCGGACAAAUCAGAUGCAUCUUAUAAAAGAUAUAAGGAUGCAAAUAAUGCGUGCAAAAAGGCAAUUAGACUUGCUAAACUUCAAAAUGAAAUAAUGAUAGCUGAAGAGAGCAAAACCAACCCCAAAGCAUUUUUUAAGUACAUAAAUUCUAAAAAACCCCAAAAUGAAAGUGUAGGUACACUAAAAACUGAAAAGGGGGUGUUAAUUAAUGAAGACCAGGAAAAGGCAGGAAUUUUAAAUAACUUUUUCUCCUCCGUAUAUAUUAAGGAAGAACCCAUGGCAAUAGAUGUGCAAAUGAUUGCUACUAAAAACUUGCAGAAUAAUUGUAAUUGGUUAACUCAAGACAAGGUGCUGCAGCAACUAAAGAAAGUUAAUAUAAACAAAGCUCCAGGGCCUGACGGUAUCCAUCCACGUGUACUUAAGGAACUAAGUGCAGAAAUAAGUGAACCUCUGUUUUUAAUCUUUCAAGAUUCUUUUCUUUCAGGAAGUGUUCCGGAGGAUUGGAGGAAGGCAGAUGUGGUUCCUAUAUUCAAAAAGGGUUCAAAAUCCUUGCCUGGAAAUUAUAGACCUGUGAGCUUAACUUCUGUGCCUGGUAAAAUAUUUGAAAGUUUAUUAAGGGAUAAUAUUCAAGAAUUCCUUGAGAAGAACAUGGUUAUCAGCAAAAAUCAGCAUGGUUUUAUGAAGCACAGGUCAUGUCAAACUAACUUGAUUGCGUUCUACGAAGAAGUAAGUAGAAGUAUAGAUCAGGGUGUUGCCGUGGAUGUGAUCUAUUUGGAUUUUGCCAAGGCAUUUGAUACAGUUCCACACAAUAGAUUAGUGUUCAAACUCAAGGAAAUCGGUCUAGAUGAAAAUGCUUGUUCUUGGGUAGAACAUUGGCUUAAAAACAGAGUACAAAGAGUUGUCAUUAAUGGUAAAUUUUCAAGCUGGACAGAGGUGGCAAGUGGUGUCCCUCAGGGGUCUGUUCUGGGACCCCUUCUAUUUAACAUGUUUAUAAAUGAUCUUGAAGAUGGCAUUGAAAGUCAUGUUUCAGUGUUUGCAGAUGACACAAAACUUUGUAAAAUAAUACAAUGUGAGCAAGAUAUUACUUUGCUGCAGAGGGAUUUAGAUAGACUGGGGACUGGGCACUCAAAUGGCAGAUGAAAUUUAAUGUUGAAAAAUGCAAAGUUAUGCACUUCGGCGUAAAGAAUACACAAGCAACGUAUACCCUUAAUGGAAGCGAAUUAGGGAUAACAACACAUGAAAAGGACUUGGGAAUUGUUAUAGACAACAAACUAUGCAACAAUGUGCAAUGUCAAUCAGCAGUGGCCAAGGCCAGUAAGGUAUUGUCAUGCAUGAAAAAGGGCAUUCAUUCUCGGGACAAGAAUAUAAUUUUGCCUCUUUAUAAAUCACUGGUAAGACCCCAUAUUGAAUAUGCUGUGCAAUUUUGGGCACCUGUUCUAAAGAAGGAUAUUAUGGCACUAGAAAAAGUGCAGAGGCGGGCUACAAAAUUAAUAAAAGGAAUGGAACAUAUCGGCUAUGAAGAAAGGUUAACAAAUUUAAACCUAUUUAGUUUAGAAAAACGUCGCCUGAGAGGGGAUAUGAUAACAUUAUACAAAUAUAUUCGGGGCCAAUACAAACCAUUGUGUGGAAAUCUAUUCACAAACCGGACUUUACAUAGGACACGAGGCCAUGCGUUUAGACUGGAAGAAAGAAGAUUUCGUCUAAGGCAAAGGAAAGGUUUUUUUACUGUAAGAACAAUCAGGAUGUGGAAUUCUCUGCCUGAGGAAGUGGUUUUAUCAGAGUCCAUACAGAUGUUCAAACGGCUACUAGAUGCAUACUUGCAAGAACAGAAUAUUCAAGGAUAUAAUCUUUCAAUGUAGGGUAAUAACUGCUUGAUCCAAGGAUAAAUCUGACUGCCAUUCUGGGGUCAAGAAGGAAUUUUUUUCCUAGCUUGUUGCAAAAUUGUGCUUCAAACUGGGUUUUUUUGCCUUCUUUUGGAUCAACAGCAAAAAACAAAUGUGAGGAAGGCUGAACUUGAUGGACGCAAGUCUCUUUUCAGCUAUGUAACUAUGUAACUAUGUAACUAUGUAACUAUGUAACAUCGUACCGUGUAAAAAUAUAAAAAGUUCUACAGGAAAGAAAAUAAUAAACUGAAAAUUAUUCUCCGUGAUCCUUCACUUUUAAACCUGUUUUUAUAACAGUUGUUUUCCUGCAAUGGAGACAGCUUUUUGUUUUUCUUACAUAAUUUUGUUAUAAACUACUCUUUAUACUCUAUAUACCGCUGCAAAUUUCUUUUACUAACUGUACACGAUGUAUGCUAGGCCUCCACAGUAGCGUGCAAUCAGUAUGCCACUAAAUUAUAAAUGUUUAUAAACACAUAUAAUAAACCCACUUGCUAAGGAAGUAAAAGCAUGUACACUAGUAUAAUUACACCUCUGUGAAAAAUACCUGUAUUACUCUGCUUAUCGAGUGGAAAGUGCUAGCUCAUUAUAUUUCUAAUGCUAUAAAUUACAGAUGCUUGCAGGGAAUAUAAAUUGGGCUAUUUACCAUAAACACUAUGUUUAAGAGAAUAAACCUACAAACAUAGCAUUUUUUUAAGGCAGGUUAAAUGAGUGCAGUAUAUACAGCCAAAAGAAAGCUUGUUUUUUUCUCAUUUUGGGUUUUGCUAACUAAUUUUAAAAUGGCUGUCACUUUUUUAAGUGUUUUUGAAGGUGACAUUUCUUUUUUUGGCGCAGUAGGAUGGGGGUGAACCUAAGCUUAGAUAUACUUACCUAAAGCUCUCCUUCAUGGGCCACACCAUCUUUUUCUUUAAAUCCUGGCACUUCAUCCACUAGGAGCCUGUGUCACUGCUGUUCUCUUGUGCAUAUGCAAGAAUACAAUGUGGUCUAUGAAGGUCCCAGAAGACUGCGGCAUCCUCUGUAGCCCAAUUUUCACUGUGAAUUAGAAGAUGCCUGUCUCUCACAGCCAACGCUAACGAUGGUUGUGGUAAUUGACAAAAUUUAAUGACAGAAACAUCACUUUUUGUUUACAUUUUUCAAACUAGACUUUGCCAAAAAGACAAAGUAGACCAUAUCUUUUGAUUGAGUUGGAAUUUCAUUAAAAUUCCAUUGUAGUCAAAAUGCGUAUUUGAUACAGAUUGAUAAGAAAAACUCAUAAAGGGAUCAGAGGUGAUAGAGACACCUUAAGAAUAAGAUACAAUAUAGGCUGUGUGUAACGGAUCACCUGGCACCCCAACUGACUGUUGAAGGAUGCUCCUAGCGCUUCCUGAGGGCUCCAAGCACUCCAACCGACACUAUAACCACCGUAGACUCCUUCAGAGAGCAAGACAGGAACAAGCUCUUGAGAUUAUAGCAAGGGAAUAUGCAGAGCAUAGCAAUCCCUUGUAGCAGAUUCCCCCAAUAAGAGACAGGACUCAGAUUGAGGUGCUGGCACAUACAACCUCUUUUAUUCACAAUUCACAAACAUAGUACUGCCCACAAGGUUUUGAAAUACAGCCAAUCAAUCCGUACAAUACACACAGACACUCCCACACAAAAUCCUCCCCUCUGCCUGUGAUAUGAUUACUGAACACAAUGGUUAAUAUAAUUAUCACAGGCAGAGAAAUACAGUUUUUACAAAAUAGUAAUAACUUCAAAAAUAUACAUGCCACAAACAUAUAAAUUACAUAUUCGAACUCAGCACACUUUAACUAUAAACAUAUCCAAAAUUCAGCCAAUUCCAUCCAGGGGUUAAAAAGUUAGCUGGAAGUCCCUUUUUGACUGACCGCAAGCACAUUUUCAUGCCCAAAAUAGAUUUGGGCUGUGCGGUCGGUCUAUUUCAGGCUGAAAAAACGACUAAGUCCCACCGCCGAAUGGGACUUAGUCUCUGCGGCUGCAAAAUCAUUGUGGGAGAAGGUAAGGCUCAGCAGUGUUCGCGGAACUGUGUAGCCGAUUUCAGUUCCAUGAAUUUGGCUACACACAACGCUGACCACAUUGAAUAAAAAAAGAUGGCCCCAGCGUUCGGCAAUAUACCUACAGGGGAUAAAAUCUGCAUCGCUAGGGAUAGAACAACGUGUGUCUAUGGAUAAAACAGCAUUGUGUAAAGGAAGGAGGAAAGAUAAAGGUCAAAUAGAUCCUCAAAAUAUCUCUGCAGGGAUUUACCAACCUCCACCAGUGCCCCAUUCAAUCAUCCAUACUCUGCCUAUUGUCCUACCUCCACUCCUUCAGCUUAUAAUAACCUAAUUAUCAAAUGCUAUAAACGACUUGCCCGGCUUCUUUCUUUGAUAAUGCAGUCCCUUAGUCUUUGUUACAGGCUUCCAUGCUGUUCGGAACAGACAGUGCCCACAUGGGUUUAUGCCGAACCCAUCCAUCAUUGGGAAAACACUGAUAGUGGAUUAAUCAAACCAUUGCUCCAUGCUUUAGGCAUCACAUCAAUCGGAGCACGGUACAUCUGGAGGAGACAUGUGGGGCAUGCUUAAGGGGGCACUCCAAACACAAUAUUCUAUGAUUCCUGCAUAGGUUAUGGUGUCAUCAAUUCUUGUCUAUUUGUACUCAGCUAUAAAUCCACUCCUGCUAUCAUCCCUCGAUACCCUGACUGUCUACCUUAUAGAUAUCUCUAUGAUUGAUGCGUCUAGUGACAUUAGUGAAAAAACAUCAAUGGAGCUAUUUUGGAGGAUAAUAGAGGGCACGCCAGGGAUGUAUUUACCACAAGGCAAACCAGGCAUUUGCCACCCCAAGCUCCCAGACAAAUGCCUUGUUUGCCUCAUGUUCUGGGGCUGUCCACCUUACUGUGAGUAAGUGUAGCUGUCAGUGUGUGUCUGUGAGUGAGAAUGGGUGUGCCUGUGAAUGUGUGUCAGUGUGUGUAUGUCAUUUUCUGUGUAUCUGAGAGUGUGUGCCUCUCAGUGAGUGGGUGUGUCAGUGUGUGUCUGUCAAUGAAAGUGUGUGUUGGUUAAACAGUGUGUGCCAAUGACUGUAUUUGUGUGCCAAUGACUGUGUAUCUGUCACUGAGUAUAUAUCAGUGCAUGUAUCAAUGAGGGCAUGUGUCUGUCAGUCAAAAAAAUGGCCUUGACACGAAUUGGGGGGGGGGGCAAAGUUAGAUUUUGGGGGUGCCCAAAUUUAGUCGUGCCUAGGGCAGCACAAAUCCAAAAUACACCACUGGGGCACUCACCAGAUAUAUUAGGAUGUGUAGUAACUUCAUGUAUAUAUUUAAUUAAUAGGAUGGUUUUUUUUUUCUUGACCCUAUGUAGUUUGUCUUUUAAUGUCUGGUUUUCCCAAUACAUCACAAGGUGAUAUUAUAUCUAUGACAUUUUUCUUUGUAUAACACUGGGUUAUAUCUGUCUAUAUUUUGUAUAUGUAGUAUGGCAAUAUAUAUGUGCUUUUAUUGUUGUGUACGUAAAAGAAUAUCAGUAUACCGUGGCAUAACCUUAGUAGCCCAAAGCAUCAUAUGGGUUACUUUUGUGUAGUUUGGUAAGACUUUGUAACUACAUGGAGCUAUGCCUUUUUUACUUAUUAACUAUCUUACAUAUUGUGGUUAUAUGACCCAUAGUAAAAACAAAGAGAAAGUUACCUGCAUUCUGGCCCAAAUCCCUAUGUACAUUUGAACAAAAUGGAGGCUGUUUAGUUUCAUUUCAAUGGCCAUUUGAAUAUAAGCUCAUCUGCCAUGUCAAGGCAAGCCUCAAAAGGUAAAUCCUACACUUGCCAUGAGAUUUGCUGAUACCAGCCAAGAAUCUCCAGUAAGACAGGGAGGGGUAUUUUAAAAACCCUUUCACAUUUAACCCUUUAUAGGGCUUCUACACAUACAAUACAGUUUACUGGUAUCAGACAAAGGUAAACACCUCUAAUGAGACAUGAAGGGGUGUUUUAUAAACUGCUACAUACUUAUUAACCAUAAAUAGGGCUAUAACACAUAACAUACAAAUUACCUUGCCGAUAUUAGCUAGAAGGCAAAUUUCUCUGUUGAGACAGGAAGGAGUGCUGCCCGUACAUACUUAUAAACUCUUAAUAUCAAUGGUGAUAUUGGUGGGUUUAUAGUUUAUGUACCGUUUGCUUAGUUUACAUCUGUUUAUAUUGUAUAGCUGAAUAUGUCAUUGCUUAUUAUGGUCUUAUCACAUAAUAACAUUGUAUCAAUAAACACUUUUGCGUAAUGACAUUGGUGUGCUAUGAUUUGAUGUUAAUUAAAGAGCUGUACUCCCACCUGGCACUGUAAGGGUUAAGUCCGUCUAACGAUGAGAUAGCCGUCUGGAUGAUGAGUGGGAGGCCAGCACGUCAUUUACAUGAACAGCAGAGAAAGCCUGCAGUGUUUUUAUAAAGAGCAUCGAUCGAUCAAUCUAGCAAGUAUCCCUGCUUUGAGAAAUCGAUCAAUAAAGACAUUGAACAAUUCUUUUAAACCAUUUAAUUUCAAGGUAAAAGCACGUUCCUAUAUCAGAAAAAGGAUGCACUAAAAUCUAUCAAACAAACCACUUCUGCUUAUAUUAACAUGAUGUAUUGUGAUUAUUCGUCUUUCAGACAAUCAUAGCUAAAAAACACACUUCAAGGAGCGUUCGUUUUGGGAUAGUCCCAAGUGUCACAAAUGAAGAUGGAAAAUGGUAGAUUUUAGAAGAGGGGUGGUAAAGCUUUACCCCCUCCAGCUCUUUUAGAACUACAAUUACCCUAAUGCUUUGGCAAUUUCUGUAGUAGUACUAAGAUUACAUUUUGGCCACCCAUAUUCUAGACCAGGGCUGCCCAACAGGUAGAUCUCCAGAUGUUGUAGAACUACAACUCCCAUGAUCCUUUGUCAUUCUAAAUGCAUUCUAAAGGCAUGCAAAACAUCAAGGGAGUUGUAGUUCUACGCCAUUUGGGUAUUUACCUGUUGGGCAGCCCUGUUCUAGACUAAGAACAUCAGAACAAGCUAUAUUAGCAGCCAUAAUAGAUACAUUAUAGCUUAGCUAAUAUUAAACUACAACAACCACACUGCUUUGCAAGAUACCGUUUAUUCAAUUCGACAUUUGCAUUGCUCAGCCAUGACAUGACCUGUUAGCCAGUUAAAAAUUGUUGUUAUACUUUUAAUUAGUAAUAAACAUUGCUUGUGGCAUUAGUGGUAGGAUGUUAUGCAUACAUGUUUUGCACAUUAUUUGUUAUUGAGUAAGCCUUGUCACUAUCUAUUUUUUUCUUAUGUUUUGUUUUAUAUACCAUUGGGACCAGUGCUACCAUUAGUGCUACCAUUAGGCGAAAAAGGCAUUCACCUGGGGCACCGGCCUUUGGGGGGCGCCCACCGAGAGGUUUCCUGGUGGGCUGCCCUGCUACUGCUGUCUGGGGAUGCUGUGCCGGGCGAGCGGCUCCUUAGCCAGCCCCAGCGCAGCCAUUCAGCUGCUGGUCUGUCACUGCAGUUGAUUACCUGCUCGGGGAAUGUGGUAUGCUGUAACCCCAGCACCUGAGCAGAGCACUGUGCUUCCUGCAGGCAGGGGAAGCCGGGAUAUGACCUGGUAUCCCAGCUGCCCCCUGCCUGUGAACACCGGAAGAACAGUGAAGGGAGCCGGAAGCAGCCUGUGCUCACAGUGCACGGCUCUCCUCCUCCCCCAGCAGAAAGAACAAUAUCCUGCAGCCUUGACCUCUUCUUAUCUUCACAGCACCCAGGUAUGGCAUAACUGGAGGCUAAGGGAGAUUGUUUAUUGUGUGCAUGUUUAUACAUUGGUGUGUGAAUAAAAUGUGACUUUAUAUAAAGUGGUGUGAGUUUGUGUUUGAGUGACAGUGUGUGUGUUAGUGAGAGUGUGCAAAUGACUCUGGGUAUGUGUGUGUGUUAGUGAGAGUGUGCAAGUGACUCCGUGUGUGUGUGUGCUAGUGAAAGUGUGCAAGUGAAUAUGUGUGUGUGUGUUAGUGAGAGUGUGCAAGUGACUCUGUGUGUGUGUGUGUGUGUGUGUGUAUGUGAGAUAGAGAGUGCGCAAGUGACUCUGGGUAUGUAUGUGUGUGUUUGUGUUAGUUGAGAGUGUGCAAGUGACUUUGAGUGUGUGUGUGUGUGUGUGUAUUAGUAAGAGUGUGCAAGUGACUGGGUGUGUGUGCUAGUGAGAGUGUGCAAGUGACUCUGGGUGGGUGUGUGGGUGUGUUAGUGAGAGAGUGCAAGUGACUCUGGGUGUGUGUGUGUGUUAGUAAGAGUGUGCAAGUGACUCUGGGUGUGUGUGUUACAGUGUGCUACAGUGUGCAAGUGACACUGUUAGAGUGUGAAAGUGACACUGUUAGAAGGAGUGUGCAAGUGACUCUGCGUGUGUGUAUUAGUCGGAGUGUGCAAGUGACUCUGGGUUUAUGUGUGUGUGUAUUAGUGAGAGUAUGCAAUUAGUGACUAUUAGUGACUGUGUAUGUAUGUGUGUGUGUUGCAUUCAUGAGGGGGCAGCAAAAUGAAUUGUUGCCUAGGGCAGCAAGAAUCCUUGUACCGGCCCUGUAUACCGUGUAGAUUUGUAGAAUGUAUAUUUUGUUUUCACACAUUAAAGUGAUGUGUGCCUAUAUCUAUAUUGAUACUACUGUGCAUGGUAUCUAAGGAAGUGCUUUUUGGUAGCAUCCUUCGAUUUAUUUAUUUAUUUUUGUCUAGUGUGCUGCUUCAUUGUGUGUGUUGUAGAGUAAUAUAUAUAUAUAUAUAUUUGGCAUUCUAGCAGUUGUGGACUACAGUUUCCAGUAAUGCUCAUAUUGCUGAAUAAUCAGUGAUAGAGAUAGAGAUACAUGGCACCAUUCAUGGACAUAAUUAAUGAAUUAUUGAUGUAACCAUAGCUUACACCAAAGCCAGGGGAACAAACAUUUAGCAAAGCUUCAUGAACAGUACCUGCAGAGGUAGACGUUGGGCCUCUCCUUGUGUCUUUAAUCUUGUGAUGGCAGGGGAAUCUGUUUAGAAAAGCUACUCACAUAGUCAUUAGUAGGGGGUGUGAAUUAGGGCAUCUCAGGAGCACAGAAUACCUCCAGCUAUUGACUCUAGUGUAUAAAGCCCAUGGUGAACUCACUAUUUACUGAGCAGCCAUCUAUGUUACUGCACUUUCCCAGCGACUUCUUCAAGCAGGACUCUGUGUGAAAGUUUGUGUACAAUCGGAAAAAGUCUCACUGCGAUCAUAUAUUUUUGUACUGUGUGUACUUUGAGUCUCUCAUUUUAGUUCUGCCCAGCAGUUUACUUUUUUUUUUAAAUGCAUGAAUCACAAGCUUGUUUGAGCAGAGCCUUCUUUACCCCUGAUAACUAGUCUGCAAGUUACGGAAUAUGACAUCACAUGAUCUCUGCAGCCUUGUGUUUUGUUUCGUUUUUUUUAGUUUAUAAAGUGUGAUACAAUUCCAAGAUGGCCGCCUCCAUGAUGAACCACUGAUAGAUCUUCGAGUGGUAAUUGUAGAUACACUCCCUAAACCAUAUUUACAUUAAAUACUAUUAAUUUACAUUAUUAUUGGAAACAAUUAUUAAUAUUGGAAACUCACAUUGAUUUUAUCAGAUACAGAUUAAUGAACAGAGCACACAUAGAAGUACAUUUUUGAAUUUUAUAAUGCUACUUAAAAUCACCUUUCUCAGUAAACAAAUAUAGGGAUUCAGUUGUACCAUAUGGCCAUAUUGUGUUAAGCCCAAUACUACGCCACAGUACCCCAAUAUCGGUGGGUCCUACACUAACUCCAAAUGUGGGAGACAAAUUAAAUAAUGCAAGUGCUAAAUAAGCUAAAGUGUAUUUAAAUAAUCUGUUGUAAGAGCAUUGUGAAUAUCUAUAAUGCAAAAUUAAUGUGAUAAACACAAUUAAAGAAAAAUGCAGUGUCAAAACUAAACAAUUAAAGUGAUAGUGCUUUGAUAUAUAUUCUCACAAUGCAAUUCAUAUAUCUAACCUAUGAAAAUUAUAAUAAAAGUGACUAUGGAUUACCAUCCAAAACCUCCUCACAUAUAUACCUGGGGUCACCAGUUGAUUUUACCAGAAGUGGAUCUGAAGGUUAUAGCUGGUAAUGUUGUAAUGCGACUUGCCAGUGUCCCAAAUUGCAGGAGAUCGUGUCAGGUUUAAAUGCAAAGUUUAAUUAAGUCUGUGAAAACCUGAAAUUCAUCAACUCUUGGGGACUCUCAGUCCAUUUUUAGGAUAUAGGAAUUUAAAUUGAUUGUUAACCCAAACAUUUUUGAAACUGUCUUGAUCGUAUGAUUGAGCCGCACCCAAAGUUUUCUUCAAAAACCCUCAAUAUUUUAUUCUGUUUCAUAAAUUAGUAGCCUUUGUAGCCUUUGUUAAGUUUGAACAUUCCUUAUUUUGAUGCAUACAAAUGAAAUGCAUAUAUAACUAGAUACGUUUCUAAUUACUAUCUACUAAUUAUUAUUAUUGUUAUUAUUAUUGAUAUUUAUAUAGUGCCAACUAAUUCCGCAGCACUUUAUAAUAUUAUGAAAGGGGGGGAUUUUUACAAUAAAUGAGACAAUUACACAAUGACUUGAAGGUAAUCAGUGAAAUUGGCAAUUUCAGAGUUUAUAGUUAUAUGAGUGCAGAACACACAUGGUUUGUUUAUUUUUCUCUAAUAUACCAGCCGUUAGAAACCAAGUGUUAGCAAGUGUUAGCUUGUUUUUCUCCAUCAUGUGUUUAACAAGGAGAUCAAGGUAAGAAACAAUUCUCAGGAAAGCUGUGAGGAUCUGUCUUGACUAAAUAUAAACCCAUUAGCUAGACACAAUACACAUUAAAUCAGGAAACAGCUUAUUGUGAACAAACUAAGUCUCAUCAUGCACACAAAGUUACAUUGUUAUAAAAAAAACUGUUUAUUGUUUAUGUAAGUGACAAAGUACAGAAGAGAAAUCUGGAAAAAUCUAUACAAUAAAAGCAAUGUAUUCAUAUGAAAAAAUAAAUUGUGCAUGAAGAGGUGAGCAGCGCCUUGGGGGGUGUCCUCAAAUCCGGGGCUGUGUCACUUUGAAAAAGUCUGUAAAAUAGGUGAAAUGCGUUAGUGUGUUACUUUAUUUUGUUUUGUUUUCUUGCUUUUAUAAACUAUUUUUUUUCAAUAAAGUUUAGUGUUUUUUCAACACCCAUGGACCUUCCUGCUUGUAUCCAGACAUUUGGCUCAUCAAUUUCUUUGGUGGUGAAUAUACCACCUACAUCACAUGGAUUGAGCAAAACCGUUUUUGCUCUUCAUCAGUGAGUCCAUCUCUUUUAUUCCUUUUAUUUCUACACAAUAAAAUGAGUUCUACAAUAUAUGUUUAUCUCUGUUUUAUCCACAUAUUCCAUGGUGAAAAUCCCUGCCACAUGUAUCCAAGAGUGUGGAUUGUUCCACUACACGCCAUUUACUGGGAGCCAUCAGUAGGCUCCAAAAUUGUGAGUGUACAUCUAUAUAGAUUCACUCCACCCAGUACACUCAACAAACUACACUAUAUUGGUACUAAACUCUAUUAGUGUCAUUUGUUCUUUUCCCACCCUCCAUUGGACCAAGUCAGUAUAUCCAUAGGCGGGGAAUUUACCACAAAGCGUAUCAAUUUGGAGCUAAUUUUCAGUACAAUUCCUUUUUUUCUUCCUUUUAUUACAUUGCCAACUUACUACACUAUAUUUUGCACUUUAUCUUUUUUAUCGUUACAUAUUGAUUAACACUGACCUGGAUCUGAGGACACCCAGAAGGGAGAGACUCUGGUUUUGGUUGUCCAAGCUAUCUACCUGAUUAUUUAACAAGCAGUAGAAACCCACUAUCUUUUAUCUCUGAUAUAAAAAACUAAGCAUAAAAUUCACCUCUUGAUAAAUACAUCCGAUGAUAAUAAAAUGUAUCCAUUGACUGGGCAGAUGACAACGAAAGGGGGUUAUUAAGGCAAAAUAUGUGCUAAUGUGAGUGAGAAUUGCCAAAUGCAAAGAGACAUUCCUUUGGUUUCCAUGGUAAUUACAUCUUAUUGCAGGUAUGCUCCAGACACCAUAACAACUUUAUUUAAAUUGAGAUUGUAUAGUGCAAGGAGGUCCGGGGUGCCUCAUACUUUAAAGGGUUAAAUAAUUUAUGAAUGGCUUAAUCCAAAAGUUGCAAAUAUGGUGCCCUUCCAAUCUUUUCCCUGGUUUCCAGUGCUCUGAUAUUUUAUUUUAAAACUUACACAUAUUGUAAUCAGCGUUCCCUUUAAGCUAUCAUUGAAGGCAAUCCAGUCUGAACUGGAUAAAUUCUAAGAUGAUCUUAGAUGGCUACCUAGGGUUCUGGGGUCACAAUGCCUAUGUGAAAAAUGAAGGUAGGGUCAAAACCAGUAAUUUUGUAGAGUCUGUGGGAUCCUAAUCUAUCUCUCACUCCAAUAAUAGAAGUACAGGAAAGAUCUUUGUAUCAACCUCCUCCUCUAUAGUAUUCACACCGUAUUUCUCCAUAAUGAUAUCAGUUAACUCAUGCACAUUCAAGAUGUUUUAUUCAAAGAUUAUUUUGAUUUUUACGACGAUGUGUGUAAUAAAUAUAUCUCUUUGCUGUUAUUGAUCUGGUUUAAGUGAGUAUAUUAGGUGCCAUCGAUAAAUAGCACAUUCAAAAUCCAAAGAUAUUCAACUCAGUGUAUUGGACUGAAUUUCAUGCAAUCAUUCUCUGUUUGAAAAAGUUACAACUGAACUUAGACACAGCUUGGCUAGUUUUGCCUUAAUUUUGCCAUUUGGAUUUAACUUCCGAUUUAAGUGACUAAUCCUUUAAAUGAAGCCAAAAUAUUCAUAUAGAAAACAUCUCGAUAUCUACUUUAUUUAGAAUGUAGUUAUUUCAUAUAAAAUCAGAGAUCCGUUUGUUACAAUUCCCUGUUUAGUGAAUAGACAUUAUUUUAUUCUUUUUUUGUAGCAUUUUAUUCAAAAUGCGAGUUGAGUUAAAGGCUAAUAAAACUCUUACCGGUAAGAGUUUUUGAGUUUAAUGAUUCAGCAUCAGACCGUUUGACCAUGAAGAACUAAUUACUCAUGGCUAAUAGCAGUUAACACAACAAGGUCAAUGUAAUUGCAAGCUACAAUAAAAGGGGGAAAAAAACUUAGAAAAGUCCAUUGUAGUUGUGAUCAGGAAUAAAACUUUAUUAUCCCAGUAGGAAAACAUAGGGACGCGGCAGGAUAUAAAACUAUUCAAAGAAAAUAAUGAAAAACAAUCAAAUUUAUACAUUGUUCAUUGGUAUGUAACAUGAAUUAUGUUAGUCAUAGGUUUUAACCAGUCUGAUAAUCUGUAAUAAGUUGAUUGUAUUAGUGCAUUGCAUUUAUUCAGUGAUAUAAUGUUAAUCCCUUCUAUCCCAACCCAGAAAUGGAAACAAAUGAAUAAAAUUGAUUUUACCAACUCCUUCACUCAUUCUUCUGUAUUGACGUCAUCCUAGUCUCUCCUCAUUUGACCUGCAGUGGAGCCUAUAUAGUUCCAUUCUAACAGCAAUGGGUGGGAAGAUUUGUAAGGUCUCUGGGCAUAAUGCACAUCUUAAAGGGACACUUAAAUCCCCAAAACAACUUUAGCUUAAUGAAGCAGCUUUUGUGUAUAGAUCAUACCUCUGAAGUUUUACUGCACACUUCACUGCCAUUUAGGAAUUAAAUCACCUUUGUUUCAAUUUAUACAGCCCUAGCCACACCUCCUCUGACUGUGACUCACACAUGCUGCAUGAAAGCAAAAUGGUUUAAAUUUAAAUCAGAUGUUAACUUACUUUAAACUUUUUAUCAUCUGCUCUGUAAAUUGAACUUUUAUUACAUACAUGGUCUAGUAAGCUAUUAACAAAGUAGGAGAGAGGAAAUUCUAAAUUUAACAGAAUUUGCAAUAAAGGAAGUGUAAACAUUAGAUCUCUCUUUGCAGGAAGUGUUUAGGAAGGAUAGAAACAUAGAAACAUAGAAUGUGACAGCAGAUAAGAACCAUUCGGCCCAUCUAGUCUGCCCAAUUUUCUAAAUACUUUCAUUAGUCCCUAGCCUUAUCUUAUUGUUAGGAUAGCCUUAUGCCUAUCCCACGCAUGCUUAAACUCCUUUACUGUGUUAACCUCUACCACUUCAGCUGGAAGGCUAUUCCAUGCAUCCACUACCCUCUCAGUAAAGUAAUACUUCCUGAUAUUAUUUUUAAACCUUUGUCCCUCUAAUUUAAGACUAUGUCCUCUUGUUGUGGUAGUUUUUCUUCUUUUAAAUAUAGUCUCCUCCUUUACUGUGUUGAUUCCCUUUAUAUAUUUAAAUGUUUCUAUCAUAUCCCCCCUGUCUCGUCUUUCCUCCAAGCUAUACAUGUUAAGAUCCUUUAACCUUUCCUGGUAAGUUUUAUCCCGCAAUCCAUGAACCAGUUUAGUAGCCCUUCUCUGAACCCUCUCUAAGGUAUCAAUAUCCUUCUGAAGAUACGGUCUCCAGUACUGUGUACAAUACUCCAAGUGAGAUCUCACCAGUGUUCUGUACAAUGGCAUGAGCACUUCCCUCUUUCUACUGCUAAUACCUCUCCCUAUACAACCAAGCAUUCUGCUAGCAUUUCCUGCUGCUCUAUUACAUUGUCUGCCUACCUUUAAGUCAUCAGAAAUAAUCACCUCUAAAUCCCUUUCCUCAUUUGUUGAGGUUAGGACUCUAUCAAAUAUUCUGUACUCUGCCCUUGGGUUUUUACGUCCAAGAUGCAUUAUCUUGCACUUAUCCACAUUAAAUGUCAGUUGCCACAAUUCUGACCAUUUUUCUAGUUUACCUAAAUCAUUUGCCAUUUGGCUUAUCCAUCCUGGAACAUCAACCCUGUUACAUAUCUUAGUAUCAUCAGCAAAAAGACAUACCUUACCAUCAAGACCUUCUGCAAUAUCACUAAUAAAAAUAUUAAAGAGAAUGGGUCCAAGUACAGAUCCCUGAGGAUGUGACUAGGUCUAUAUAAACAAAGUGAUUAAACUCCUAAAUGGCAGAUAAUUGAGCAGUUUGACUGUAGGGAUAUGAACAAUACACCAAAACUGCUCUAUUAAGCUAAAGUUAUUUAGGUGACUAUAGUGUCCCUUUAAGUUUAAGAUGAAGUGUAUGAUUUUAGAUAGGAGCUGUAUAUACUCUAUAUGUACAUUUAGGAAUUUUUGGAAUUUUUGGCAAUCUACACUUCUAACAAUUGAACAGCAAUGGCUGCCAAGUCACUAGUUUUCUAGUUUUCUCCAUAGGCUUUUUUUAAAGUUUCUUUUCAUUUUUACACUUUUUUAAUGUGGCUUCCAGAUGAUUACCCUCACCACCACCGAGAGUCUUUCAAAUUAUUGUUUGCUUGCAAAAAGCAUGUGAAUGAUUAUUUGCGAAGUUGUAUCCUGCAGGAUGCGUUCGAUCACCAAAUACAUCAGGCCGUUUGGUGCAGGUUUGGUCAGUAUGGCCAAAUUCCAACCUGAAUUAUCUUUUGUAAAAAUGUGAAUUGGCAUUCCAGUUGGAAUUCAUCAAUUUACACCAAAUUUUUGUGCAUUUAGACAAAAUCUGAUAUUUAGUGAAUUACCCUGUAGGUGAAGUGGAAGCAGUUCAUCUAUUUUCACCUUAAAUUUGAAGUGCACAUUAAAUUCUAGAAUUGAGAAUAACUCUGCUAAAGAUAAGUUAACAUUUUUGCACAUUGUCUUUCGACUCUGACCUCAAUUUGUGUCUUUCGAUUCUGGCCUCAAUUUAAUAUUUUUGGAUAAACUUUUCAAAUAACUUUAUAUUUUGAAAAAUAGUUUGAUAUUUUUGUUAUUGUUUUAUAUAUAUAAUCUAUUUUUUGAUAUUUUGAUAUUUUGAAAAAAUCAUUGUAAAAGUUUAAAAAAAAUAUUAAAUCAUAAUAUUAUCAUUGAAAUUAUUAAUCCAUCAAUAUUAAAUUAAGGCCUCCAUUCUUCCUUUUGAGAUCAUGGUUAACUCACUUUGAUGUUCGGUAGAAGUAUGUGAUAAAGGAAGAGUCUAACAGUAUUAAUAGGCAUUGUUUGCACAUCUGUAAGUAGAAAUCACUAAAAUAUUAUGAAUGAACCAGUGCUAUGGGCAGAUUAAAGCAGACAGUAUGACUCUUUGAAGAUUGACAUUGAGACACUGUUGAUGUCAUAAUUGUUUUUUUAUUUUUAUAUCUCACAACAGAUAACACUGAAACUAAC